rnacentral:lncRNA from 1 species
AUCAUCACAAGCAUACUUCCAAUUUUAUUAUUAUGGAGAAAUUAGAUUUAUCAAAAUAAAAAAAUAAACUAAACCAUAAAUGGUUCAUACCUCUUAUCCUCCACGGGGGUUGAAGCGAAGAACAUUUUUAAAGUUUGGAUGGUCAUCCCACUCCAACGAUUCCCACCAUUCUUUCCUUGACUUGAUGGUAAGAGAAGGUGGAGCAUAUGCAAAUGGCUGCCCAUUGCCAACAAAGGGAACAAAUGGAGGAAUUCUCUUUAGUUUAUCACACUUAUCAACACUGAUAAGCUCGAGAGAAUCACAAACCAUCACUCCACAUUUGCUGCAUAUGCUCUUCAAAUUUGGUAAUCUCCACAAUACCAGCUUUCUCAAUUUGGGAAGAUGGAAUUUGAUUAAUGCAUCACUCCCUUUUUCUUCAACUUCUGAUGUUGCUGCUCCCAAUAUUUCUACUAGCUGACUACAAGCACCCACAAAUAUUUCUUCCAGGUUUUGGAGGUUUGGAAGCAACCAAGGUGGAAGCAACGUCUUCAUACUUGAGCAGUUCGCUAUCAUAAUUUCCUUGAGUUGGAAGACGGAGCCACUGUUGAUGUUGUUGCUGAACCAAUUCCUGCAUCUUUCAUAAUAAGGGCACUCAACUUUGGCAGAAUUUGAAGAUCCAACACCUCGAGGCUCUGAAAUGGAUGAGCGGAAGAAGAGGCAAAAGAGAACAAGGAAACAACACACUUUAUCCCUUUACAAUCAUAAAUCCUACAAACCCUCAAGUCAAUCGCAUUUUUGAAGGAAGAAUUAUCAUCGACUAAGUUUCUCAAAUAGUCGCACCUUGAAAUAUUAAACUCUCGAAUUUCAUAUGGGUGCAUAAUUAACUCACCUUCCCAAUUCUGGACUCCUCCAAUUUGUUGAAUUUAGUUCCCAUGCAAGACAUGCAAAGGUGGCCAUGCAAGGAGAAGUGGCAGCAAGCAGUCGAGCUAUGAAGUGCAGAAACUGGAGCUUGAAGUUGCCUAACUACUUGUUAUGUUUUGAUUGUAUUUUUUAAUUAUUAUUAUUUUGUAAUCUAGUUUAUGUUGAACUAAGUUGGUAAACCUUAUGAUGUGUUUUUUUUGAUUGAUUGACUGAAAAAUCAGCAAAGAAACUUAAGCAAGCUGAUUAACAAUUUCCAAUGUAAAUUUAGUGGUGUUAGGUAUGUCAUUAGGUAAAGACUUGUUCAUUUUGUUGUUGUUAUCUAUUAUAUGUAAUGGCAUUAUGCCUUCUGGAUCAGUUAAUGAAAAUAUCAGCUCUUUUCAUUCAAAAUACUCUCUCUCAAUUUCUUUUGUUUUCCAUUCGCAUGUGUUUCUGUUCUUGCUUCUGAGUUUGUUUCUUCAGCAAGGCUCGAGGCUUGCUAUACAAGCAAGAUUGAAAAUAGUCUGUUGUUGUCUCUUUGCACCAACAAUUGGUAUCUAGAGCUUCAUUCUUAGUGGACCUGUUUUAUCAAACUAAGAAAGCUGAAUGUCUUCCUCAAGUUUUUCACCAGCAGCCCCACCAGUCUUCAAUGGAGAAGGCUUCCACAUAUGGUUGGUCAAGAUGAAGACUUACCUACAGGCCUUUGAUCUGUGGGAAGUUGUCAACACAGAUGCUGAGCCAGCACCACUGAGGGCCAAUCCCACAGUAGCUCAGAUUAGGCAACAUGCUGAUGAGAGGACCAAAAGGCACAAAGCCAUGUCCUGCAUUCAGAAUUGUGUGUCAGAUGUCAUCUUCACCAGAAUUAUGGCCUGUGAGACUCCAAAACAGGCACGGGAUAAGCUUAAGGAGGAGUUUCAAGGCACUGAGAGAAUAAGGCAACAGCAGCUAUUGAAUUUGAGAAGGGAUUUUGAGAACCUGAAGAUGAAGGAAGAAGAAACAGUGAAGCAGUAUGUAGAUAGAAUCAUGGCAGUGGUUAACAGUAUAAGGCUCCUUGGUGAGCACUUUGAUGAGGCAAGGAUAGUAGAGAAAGUUCUCUCCACUUUGCCUGAGAGAUAUGAGGCCAAGAUAUCCUCUCUUGAGGACUCAAGAAACCUUGCUACCAUCUCUUUGACUGAGCUAAUCAACACUUUCUAUGCUCAAGAACAAAGGAGAGCUAGCAGAGCUGAAGACCACCAGGAAGGUGCAUUCAAUGCUAAGGCCAGAGAAGCCUCGAGCAUCAAUGCUCCAAGAGGUAAAAAGCCUUGAAAAAGCAGGCCUAAGCCUGAUACUGCAAGGAGCAAUGACCAGCCCUGCAGACAUUGCAAGAGGCCAGGUCAUCCAGAAGACAGAUGCUGGUUCAGGCCAGAUGUAGUAUGCCAACACUGCAAGAAGAAAGGCCAUGUUGAAAGGGUUUGCAAAAAUAGAACCAAGUCAAGGCAGAGUCAAUUUCAACAACCAAAGGUUGAAGCUCGAGUAGCUGAGGACAGUAGUGAUCAAGAAGAGCAGGUCUUUGCUGUUUCUUGCUUAGUUGCUGAGAAGAAAUGCUCAAAAGGCUGGUUAUUGGACAGUGGUUGCACUAACCACAUGUCACCAGAUGCCUCCUUAUUUAAAACCUUAGAUAGAAGUUGCAAAACCAAGGUCAAGGUUGGAAAUGGUCAGUUCAUAAGGGCUGAAGGAAGAGGAAAGGUGCUGAUAUGUACCCCCACAGGCAACAAGAUCAUUCCAAAUGUGCUGUUAGUGCCAGAAAUCGACAGAAACCUUCUCAGCAUAGCUCAAUUGCUCGAGAAAGGCUAUUCUGUUGUGUUCAAGAACAAACAGUGCCACAUUGCUGAUCCAAGUGGAUCAAGCCUUAUGACAGUCACAAUGACUGACAAAUGCUUUGAGGUACACUGGCCAAAUGACUCAAAGUCUGCAUAUACAGCCUCUGUUGAUGAUUCCAAGCUUUGGCAUCAAAGGCUUGGGCAUGCCAACUUUAGAUCAUUGGCUCGAAUGGCCAAAGAAGGCUUGGCAGAGAACUUUACUAGCUUAGUGGAGCAUUAUGAUGUGUGUGAAGUUUGCCAGAUGGGGAAACAGGCAAGACUGCCAUUUCCUACAAAUUCAGCUUGGAGAGCUACUGAAAAACUGCAGCUGGUGCACUCUGAUGUAUGUGGCCCGAUGAGGACUGAAUCACUCAGCAAAAAUAGGUAUUUCAUCCUCUUCAUUGAUGGUUUUACAAGGUUUUGCUGGAUUUUCUUCUUAAAACACAAGUCUGAGGUAGCUCAAGUGUUUGUGAAGUUUAAAACUGCUGUAGAGACAGAAACAGGUUGCAAGCUGAAAUCGAUAAGGUCAGACAAUGGCACUGAGUACACUUCAGCUCAGUUUCAAGCCAUUUGCAAUGAUGCUGGUAUCAAACACCAGCUUACAAAUGUCUACACACCUCAGCAGAAUGGGGUAUCAGAAAGAAAGAACAGAAGCUUGAUGGAUAUGGCCAGGUGCCUGCUGUUUGAGAAGAAACUGCCCAAGACCAUGUGGGCUGAGGCAGUAAACUCUGCUGUCUACCUUCAAAAUAGGCUUCCUACCAAAGCUCUUGCAUCCAAAACACCUUUCGAGGCUUGGUCCGGUUUCAAGCCUUCCUUGGCACAUCUGAAGGUGUUUGGUUGCCUGUGUUAUGCACAAAUACCAGCAGCUAAGAGAGACAAGCUCUCUGAAAGGGCUCAACCAGGUGUUCUAGUAGGCUAUAGCUCAGUUAAGAAGGGCUAUAGGGUGCUGGAUCCUUUGACAAACAUAGUUCAAGUGAGCAGAGAUGUCAUCUUCGAUGAGAAGGCUUGCUGGAAUUGGGAAAAGAAUGAACCAGAAGCUGCUUCAGAAGACCUGGUGCCUAAUCAAGCUGAACUUGAGCAGCUAGGACCUGAAAUGGAUGUUGAUGAUGUGCCUGUGAGAGGCACAAGGCCCCUAGAUGAUAUUUAUGAAAGGGCACAGGUUGCAAUAGCAGAACCUAGCAGUUUUGAAGAGGCUGAGGCAGAUGAAGGCUGGAAACUAGCUAUGGUCGAUGAAAUCAACAUGAUUGAGAAGAACCAGACAUGGGAGCUAGUUGAUAAACCUACUGGAAAGAAGACCAUUGGAGUAAAAUGGGUCUAUCGAGCAAAACAGAAUGCAGAUGGCAGUCUGAACAAGCUAAAAGCCAGGCUUGUUGUCAAAUGUUUUAGCCAAAGGUAUGGUCUGGACUAUCUGGAGACAUUUGCACCAGUAGCCAGGCUUGACACAGUUAGAAUGAUAGUUGCCUUGGCUGCUCAACAUCAGUGGACCAUUCAUCAGCUUGAUGUUAAGUCUGCAUUUCUCAAUGGUUUCCUGGAAGAAGAGAUCUACAUCAAACAACCUCAAGGAUUUGUGGUCACUGGUAAAGAACACAAGGUGUACAGACUGAAAAAGGCUUUGUAUGGCCUGAAACAGGCUCCUUGAGCCUGGUAUGCUCGAAUUGAUUCUUACUUGCUCAGUUUGGAAUUCGAGAGAAGUCGCAGUGAACCAACACUGUAUGUGAAGAAGAACCAAGCUGAAACUCAACUUAUCCUGUCACUCUAUGUUGAUGAUUUAUUGGUGACUGGAGGAGAUAGAAGAAUGCUGGAAGAUUUCAAAAGAAAAAUGAUGGAAAUGUUUGAAAUGUCUGAUUUAGGCAGAAUGAACUACUUCCUUGGAAUGGAAGUGAAGCAAACAGCAAAGGGAAUCUUUCUUAGUUAGAGUUCUUUUACUAUGAAGAUCCUGGAUAAGUUCUCUAUGAAGAACUACAAGCCAACAAGCACACCAAUGGUUGUUGGAGUGAAGCUUUCGAGGCAAGGGAGUGGUGAACCAAUUUGCGAGACUAUGUACAAAAGUCUCAUUGGUAGUCUGUUGUAUUUGACUGCAACAAGACCCGAUAUCAUGUUUGCUGUUAGUGUGCUAUCCAGAUACAUGAAUUGCUGCAAUGAUCAGCACUUUCAAGCAGCUAAAAGAGUGCUUAGAUACAUCAAAGGCACCAUUGAUCAUGGUGUAUUGUUCAAAAGGGCUGAAAACAUGAAGCUGAUAGGCUAUGUUGAUAGUGACUGGGCUGGAUCUUGUGAUGACAUGAGAAGCACAUCUGGAUAUGCCUUUAGUCUUGGCUCAGGCAUGUUUUGCUGGAGUUUUAAAAAGAAAAUUCUGGUAGCACAGUCAACAGCAGAAGCUGAAUAUGUUGCUGCUGCAUCUGCUGUAAAUCAAGCCAUAUGGCUUAGAAAAAUCCUAGCUGAUUUAAAUCAAAAUCAAGGAAAUGCAACAGAGAUUUACUGUGAAAACAAAUCUGCUGUUGCAAUUGCAAAGAAUCCUAUCUUUCAUGGUAGAACAAAGCACUUCAACAUCAAGCUACAUGUCAUAAGGGAGAUGGAGCAAGCUCAUGAAAUCGAGCUGGUUCAUUGCAAUUCAGAAGAGCAAAUUGCUGAUAUCUUUACAAAGGCACUCAAUGUGUCUAAAUUUGUUAAAUUAAGAAGGCAAUUAGGUGUCACUAGCAUGGAAACUAAGGAGGAGUGUUGAAUUUAGUUCCCAUGCAAGACAUGCAAAGGUGGCCAUGCAAGGAGAAGUGGCAGCAAGCAGUCGAGCUAUGAAGUGCAGAAAUUAGAGCUUGAAGUUUCCUAACUACUUGUUAUGUUUUGAUUGUAUUUUUUAAUUAUUAUUAUUUUGUAAUCUAGUUCAUGUUGAACUAAGUUGGUAAACCUUAUGAUGUGUUUUUGUUGAUUGAUUGACUAAAAAAUCAGCAAAGAAACUUAAGCAAGCUGAUUAACAAUUUCCAAUGUAAAUUUAGUGGUGUUAGGUAUGUCAUUAGGUAAAGACUUGUUCAUUUUGUUGUUGUUAUCUAUUAUAUGUAAUGGCAUUAUGCCUUCUGGAUCAGUUAAUGAAAAUAUCAGCUCUUUUCAUUCAAAAUACUCUCUCUCAAUUUCUUUUGUUUUCCAUUCGCAUGUGUUUCUGUUCUUGCUUCUGAGUUUGUUUCUUCAGCAAGGCUCGAGGCUUGCUAUACACGCAAGAUUGAAAACAGUCUGUUGUUGUCUCUUUGCACCAACAUAAUUGUUACUGUUUUCUCCCUUCCACGACCCAUAUCAUCUGAGCUCACCUGUAAAUGGUACUUGAUGAGAUUUUUCUUACUUUGCUGCAUUGAGGAGAUGAACUUAUUCAAUUCACCGAUGUCUUUGAAACGUCCGGUAAAGCACUCCAACUUCUUCAAUGGUUCCAUCUCCUCUGCUUUUAGACUUGUUUUUUCAUUGCUCUCUUGAAAACCCAAGUGCUGAAGGUGAACAAGUUUUGGUAAAAGUCCAGCGGGUAUCUCUUUCAGAGUGCGCACUCUAAGAUCAAGAUAUCUUAGCUUUAUCAGCAUAUCCAUUCCUUCAGGGACUUCCUCAAUUUUAGUCCCACAAAGAUCCAACUUCUUCAAUUCUUGAAGCGUAGAAAGACAUGGCAGAUCUCUUAAAUCAAAACAGCCACCAAGCAACAAUGUUGUGAGGUUCUUUAGUUCAGAGAUGGAAUUUGGUAAACUUUUGAUCUUCGUAGAGGAAAAAUUGAGAACACUAAGACAAGGCAUGUUUGUGAAGAAAGAAUAUGGGAUCUUCUUUAUAGGGUUAUCCUGCAAUAACAAGGUUGUGAGCAGUUGGCAUUUUGUGGGUAGCACAUCUAUGGAAAUUUCUGGUAUGGAGUUAAACAUAAGCGACACUUUCUCAAUAUCUGGACUCCAUUGCUCCUCUUUUGGUAACUCCUCUAAUUGCAAACCUGCUUGUAUCAUAUAUCGAGGAUUCAUUCUUGUGAUCGACAAUGCCAUGUCUCUCACUGCAUCAUGCAUCUUUAUACGAUGUAAACCAAAUUUAGUGGUAAUAUUUUCCAACAAGCAAUUAUCUUCUAACUUCUUCAAAAUAACAUGGCCCUUUUCUUUCAUUUCUUGUCUUGUACCCAUAUCAUCUAUGAAUCCCUCCUCAAUCCAGCACUCAAUUAGCUUAUCUUUUCCAAUUUCAUAAUCUUCAGGAUAUAAUGUGCAAUGUAAGAAACAAUGCUUCAUUUUCUCGUCUUUUAAGUGAUUGAAGCUAACUUUCAAACUCUCGAUCACUUUAUCUUCCCCUUCUUUCACUUUCCCUAUUCUCUCUUUCAAUUCCCUGAGUGUGUUUUUCCUAAUAAGAGGGUCAUCUUCUCCUCUCAAUGUACCAGCCAUGACGACAAUUGUAAGAGGCAGACCUGCACAUUCCUUGACAACAAGCUUCAAAGUUGGCAUUAAAGUUUGAUUUUGCACUAUGUUAGGUCCAACUUCACUCAAGAAUAGUAUCAAUGCCUCUUCUUCUGAAAGGGGCUUCACUUUUAUCACCUUACAGCCCAUAGACUUACAAACUUGCUCCACACGGGUUGUCAACACCAACUUGUACCCAUUGCUGCUACUUGGCUUAGGGAUCCCAAUUUCUUCCAACGAGACUUCAAUCCACACAUCAUCUAGGAUUAGAACAUGCUUUCCUGCUCUCUUCAGCAUUUCGGACAAGAUUGCUGCUCGUCUGACCUUGUUUGCUUCUUCAGGAAUCUUUCCAUUCAAUGCACUUAAAGUUAGAAGAAAGCAUACAAUGCAUUGUUAAACAUAAAAGAGUGUGAGCUUUUUCAAGCUCAGUGAGUGUUUAGAGAUUGCCACAAGUAAUCACAAUAUCCAAAGUUAGAAGAAAGCAUACAAUCACAAUUAAUCAUGGUGAGCAAUAAAGCAUAAUUCAUAGCAUUCACAAUAUUAAUAUGUUGCUACAAUGUGAUUACGAAGCAUAUGUACAAAAUAUAUAAUAAAAUAUUUUAUCAACAUAUAAAAUCAACAAGACUCAUAUCAUAUUCAGUCAUAAACACAUAACAUUUUUAUUGUCAUCUCAAUAUACAACACAUAACAUAUCACAUUUAAGCAUCAUUUGCAAAUCAUCAUUAGUUUAGGUAGAAACACUUACUCUUGAAAAUUGGAUGGUGUGGAUGUGUUUGGAUAGCUAGAAAAUCAUUAAGGAUGAGUUAAUUUUGAGAGAAAAUAUUAGAGUUGAAUUUGGGGAAAUUUUGAAUGUGAAAUUCAAUGGAGGGUACGGACGUCGGGUUCUUAAAGAAACGGGGAAGAUGAGUAGUUUUUUUUUAAAUAAGGAAAAAUUGCAUUUUAAAAACUUCCAGUUUUUCUUUAUUUUUCAAUUUAGACCUUAGCUUAAUUAAAACACAUUUUUCUCAAUUAUUUUCAAACCCGAUAUUUUAAAAAAAAUUCAUUUUAACCAAAUUAAUUCCCGAACACUCAAUUUUAAUUUCUUAAAAUAAAAUUAUUAAUGAUAUUAAUUUUAUUAUUUUAUUUAAUUACUUUCUGAUUAUUUUAAUGAUCUAACUUAAUUACGAUUUUUGAUUCACUAACCCCCGAUUUACUAUCCCGAUUUUUGGGAUGUGACAUGACAACAUUAUGUAAAUAUGAUAUAAUAAUAAUCACUGAUAGCAUACAAAUAAAUUAUUGAUUACAUACCCUAUUGUAUAAACUAAAAUAUAUUUAUACUACAAGUUCUAUAAUAUGAUAUCUAAAUGGGUUAAUUUUUAAAAUUGCAUAUUUUAAAAUUAAAAAAAAUUAUAGAAAUGUUAAUUUAUAAUUAUUUCUAACUUAUGUGCUUUUCAAUGUUAAAACUUUUACUAGAAUUAUUAGUAAAAAAUGCAUGAAUGAUUGAUAGCAUAAUCAUUUUAAAGACAUAAUUAUAAAUUAAUUAUAUAAAAAGGGUAAACACUUCGUAACAUAGUAAUAAAUAAUUUAUAAUACAUGAAUAAAUUAUGGAUAAAAUAAUAAGAAAUAAUAUAGUAUAAAAUUAAAUAAAUAAUAAUAUAAUAUAGUAAUAAAAUUUAUAAAUAAAUUUUUUAAUUAAGUAGAUAAUUUUAUAAAUAUCAGUGCAAAACGUCGAAAUCAUUAGGUUUCAUUGUAUCCUCGAGGUCAAUUUCCGAGUAACUCUUUUGCACAGCAAUAAAUAGGUGGGGGCAAAUAGAACUUUAAAAUAGUGACAUUGAUACACACAUUGGAACCUUUUUUAAUUUCUCAUAAAUUUAUUUUUAUCUCCGCACAGUAAUAGUUAUGGAAACAAUUAUCAAAGAAAACAAAAAAUAUUAUGAGUAAAUUUUUAUGGUCUUCGGGGCAACUUUCGUUUUUAUGUUCCACAAAGGUAAUGUAAAUUCGAUAUUAAUGUUUUCAAAAUUGUAUUUUUUUUAUCACUCGACUAUUUAGUGACACUUUUUUAAUUAGUAUAAUAACAAUUUUAGUCCUCAAAUUUUCUACUUUCAGUCAAUUUAAUCUUGAUAAUAUAUAAAAUGGUAAAAAUUUGAAAUUAUUUUUAAAAUUUUAGAAAAUUAUAAAAUAAAAAAUUAAAUAAAAGUAGAUAAAAAUUUUAAAAAUAAAUAAAGUGAGAGAAAAUGAGGGAUAAUUGUUUUUAAACCCUCCAGAAUUUCUCUACAUUGUAUGUAUUGAAAAUUAAAGAAUUUAUAGUACUUUCCUAACUUUUAUUGUAAAUAAAAGCAAGAUCAUAGUUUUGCCUCACCUUAAAUCAUUUUGAUUAAUAUAUGUUUAUAUUUUAUUUAAAUAUUAAUAAAAAUAAAAUAUAUUUUAAUUUUUAAUACCAUUUAAGUUUUAAUACUUUUUCAAGCCUAGGCCGGUUUUCGGCCUAACUUGGUUGAUCCCAAAAUUCUACAUUACUGUGCAAGAAUAUUUUAAAAAAUAAUUUUAUAUUAAUAUUUAUAUAUUUUUAUAAUUAAAUUAAGUUUUAAAAAUAUUUUAUAUUAUUUAAAUUGAAUUCGAGUUGGACCGACUCAAGACAUGGAGAGAUUUAUAGCCAUCUUCUAUUGUGUAUAUAUAUUUUUAUAUAAAAUUUAAAAUUUAUUAAAAUUUACAAAAUAAUAGACUAGUGUUGAAUGUGGUAAAAGACCAUAAUAAUAUUUGAUUCGAUAUCAUAUCAAAAUAAGUUUAUAACUUAAAUGUUUUAAUUAUAAAUAUGAAUAUAUUAGAGAAGAAUAAGAGAAUAGAAGGAAUGGUAAGAGAGGGACAAUGUUUAAAAAGUGUAGGCACUUUGAUUUCUUUAUUUAUUUGUGCUCUUAACCUCUUCCUUCCAUCAUUCCUGUUCUCCUCUCUUAUCCUCAAAAGGGGUUGAAGCGAAGAACAUUUUUUAAGUUUGGAUGGUCAUCCCACUCCAACCAUUCCCACCAUUCUGUGCUUGACCUGAUGGUAAGAGAAGGUGGAGCAUAUGCAAAUGGCUGCCCAUUGCCAACAAGGGGAACAAAUGGAGGAAUUCUCUUCAGUUUAUCACAUCUAGUAAUAUGGAUAAGUUGGAGAGAAUCACAAACCAUCACUCCACUUUUGCUGCAUAUGCUCUUCAAAUUUGGUAAUCUCCACAAUUCCACCUCUCCCAAUUUGGGAAGAUGGAAUUUGAUUAAUGCAUCACUCCCUUUUUCUUCAACUUCUGAUGUUGCUGCUCCCAAUAUUUCUACUAGCUGACUACAAGCACCCACAUGUAUUUCUUCCAGGUUUUGGAGGUUUGGAAGCAACCAAUGUGGAAGCAACGUCUUCAUACUUGAGCAUCUCUGUAAAUAAAAUUUCUUAAGAUGGGAAAAGGUGGUAGACGGAGCAAAUGUUGAUGUUGUUGCUGAACCAAUUCCUGCAUCAUUCAUAAUAAGGGCACUCAACUUUGGCAGAUGUUGAAGAUCCAAUAUCUCGACGCUCUGAAAUGGAUGAGCGGAAGAAGAGGCCAAAGAGGACAAGGAAACAACACACUCUAUCCCUUUACAUUCAUAAAUCCUCAACUCAAUCGCAUUUUUCAGGGAAGAAUUAUCAUCGACUAUGUUUCUCAAAUAGUCGCACUUUAUAAUAUUCAAGUGUUGAUUUUCAAUUGGGUGCGUAAUUAACUCACCUUCCCAAUUCUGGACUCCUCCAAUUGUUACUGUUUUAUCUCUUGCAGUAGGCAUAAAAGAUGAGCCCACCUGUAAAUAGUACUUGAUGAGAUUUUUCUUACUUUGUUGCAUCGAGGCGAUGAACUUAUUGAAUUCAUUGAUGUCUUCGAAACGUCCGGUAAAGCACUCCAACUUCUUCAAUGGUUCCAUCUCCUCUGCUUUUAGACUUGUUUUUUCAUUGUACACAUCAAAACUCAAGUGUUGAAGGUGAACGAGUUUUGGUAAAAGUCCAGCGGGUAUCUCUUUCAGAGUGAACACUUGAAGAUCAAGAUAUCUUAGCUUUAUCAAUAAAUCCAUGCCUUCAGGGACUUCCUCAAUUUCUGUCCAACAAAGAUCUAACUUCUUCAAUUCUUGAAGCAUCGAAAGACAUGUUGGAAUAUUUUCAAAUAUUUAUAGUAUCCCAAUAACUAUAAAUGAAUGGGUGUAAUUAAUCAAAAGAUAAAACUUUUGGUCAUUGGUCAAAAGUUAUAUCAUUUGAUUUUUUAAAAAAGAAUUAUAACUAUUCAAAAGAUAUUAUUUGAAUAGUUACAAAAUUAAAUGAAUAAUUAUUAUUAUUAUUUAUUUAUUCAUAAAGACACCUAUUGAAAGAUGUCUCUAUGAAGAGACAUGAAAAUUCCUAUAAAUAGGAAUGGGAUUUCAUUUGGAAAUGAUAUCAACAAAUUCUAAUAUUAUUUCUUCUCUUCCUUCAUUUUCUAAUAUUAUUAGAUUAUUCUAUAAAGUAUUGCUGCAGAAAUCCUUUGUAGAAAUUGAGUUUUUGUUAUACAUUACUCAGUGCAUAGUGGACUAUUCUCGUCAGUGCAAAACGCAAAUAGUCAUUGGCUUCAUUGUAUCCUCGAGGUUAAUUUGCUUGGAACUCGUUUGCACACUGAAGAUAAGUGAGGGCGAAUAUAACCUUAAAGAUAGUGGCUUGAUACACGCCUUGGAGCCUGUCCUAUUUCUUCUUUUUCUUUUCGAGUUCCGAUCGUGUGUUCGAGUUUUUUUUCCUUACCGGAGUUUUGUACUAACAAUUUUAAGGUUAUAUUUCAUGAUGACUACCACAACACAUGAAAGUGGAACACUAAGGGAGUUGGCUUCCAACUUUGUUAAACUUGAUCGUUUUGAUGGUGGCAAUUUUCGACGAUGGCAGAAAAAGAUGCACUUUUUGUUAUCAACUUUGAAGAUUGCUUAUGUUUUGGAUACUCCAAGACCUGAAGAGAAUGAAAAUGAAUCUGUUGCUGUAACCCGAGAAAGACAAAAAUGGGACAAUGCUGAUUACAUGUGCAUGGGCCACAUAUUGAAUGGUUUAACUGAUGGUUUGUUCGACACCUACCAAAACGACGUCACCGCUAAAGAAUUAUGGGACAAAUUGGAGGCAAGAUACAUGAUUGAAGAUGUUACAAGUAAGAAAUUUCUUGUCAGUCGUUUCAAUAAUUAUCAAAUGGUUGAUGGUCGUUCUGUUAUGGAACAAUUUCGUGAUAUUGAAAAGAUGCUGAAUCAAUUUAAGCAAUAUGAUAUGAAAAUGGAUGAAAUGAUUGUGGUAUCCUCCAUAAUAGACAAACUUCCUCCAUCUUGGAAAGACUUUAAAAGAAGUCUAAAACAUAAGAAAGAUGAAAUAUCUCUUGAGGCUUUGGCAAAUCAUUUUCGUAUUGAAGAAGAGUAUCGAAAACAAGAUCAGAACCUAAAUUCUGAAAAUGCCAAAGUACAUGUUACGGAGGAAGUACAGACUACUAAACCAUUCAAGAGAAAGUUCAAUCAGACUGAUAGAGCACCUAAGUUCAAAAAGAAACAAAAGGGCUCAUGCUAUCAUUGUGGAAAGCCGGGACAUUUCAAGAAUGAAUGUCGAUUUUUAAAGAAGAAAUCAUUUUCUAAGGCUGAUAAUAACGAAAAGUUCGUUGCAAUGAUAUCUGAAAUUAAUAUGGCACAAGAUGAUAAUACAUGGUGGAUUGAUACCGGAGCAACCAAACAUGUGUGCAAAGACAAAAGCAUGUUCACAAAGUUUACACAAUGUGAAAAUGACAAUGUCUUGUACAUGGGAAAUUCUUCCACCGCAACAAUUAAAGGCAAAGGGUCUGUUGAACUACAAUUCACUUCUGGAAAGGUUUUAACCUUAAAUGAUGUAUAUUAUGUACCAGAAGUUAGGAAAAAUUUAGUGUCUGGAAGUCUGUUGAAUAAGUUUGGUUUCAAACUUGUUUUUGAGGCAGAUAAGUUUAUUUUGUCUAAGGGAGGAAUUUUUGUGGGAAAAGGGUAUAUGUAUGAAAGCAUGUUCAAACUUAAUAUUAUUAAUAAGAAUAAAAAUACUAUUUCUGCUUAUAUGGUUGAAUCAUUUUGUUUGUGGCAUUAUAGAUUAGGUCAUUUGAAUUAUAGAAAAUUGAAUGACAUGUAUAAAUUAGAUUUAAUUCCUGUUUUUAAUAAUAAUAUUGAAAAAUGCAAUACCUGUAUGUUGACUAAAAUUACAAGAAAUCCUUUCCCUAAGGUUAAAAGGAAAACAAAAUUGCUUGAUUUGAUACAUAGUGAUUUAUGUGACUUGCAUAAUACUCCUACAUUAGGUGGAAAGAAAUAUUUUGUUACUUUUAUUGAUGAUUGUUCUAGAUAUUGUUAUGUAUAUUUAUUGCAUUCAAAAGAUGAAGCGCUUGAUAAAUUUAAAGUUUAUAAAUCUGAAGUUGAACUUCAGUGUGAAUCAUUUAUCAAGUGCUUAAGAUCGGAUAGAGGUGGAGAAUACUAUAAUCCAAGUUAUUUUGAACUCACUGGAAUUGUCCAUCAAGUUUCAGCCCCUUACACACCACAACAAAAUGGUGUAGCUGAAAGGAAAAAUAGAGUCUUGAUUGAAAUGGUAAAUUCAAUGUUAUCAUAUUCAGGUCUUGGACAGGGUUUUUGGGGAGAAGCUGUUCUAACAGCUUGUCAUAUAUUGAAUAGAGUUCCUAAUAAGGAAACUAAAAUAACCCCCUAUGAACAAUGGAAGAAAAGGAAACCAAACCUUAAUUAUUUAAAGGUUUGGGGUUGUAGAGCUAUUGUAAAAGUUCCAACACCUAAACGUAAAAAGUUAGGUGAAAGAGGAAUUGAAUGCAUAUUUAUAGGUUAUGCACAUAAUAGCAAGGCAUAUAGGUUCAUAGUAAUUGAACCAAAUGAUUCAAUUUCAAUUAAUACGGUUAUUGAAUCAAGAGAUACUAUUUUUGAUGAAAAUAGAUUUAAUUCUAUAUCAAGACAAUUACAACCACAACAAUUGAUUCAUUCUUCAAAUGAGAAUGAGAUUCCAUUGAAACAAAUUGAUAAUAAUGAUGAAUCUUGUCAAGAAUUAAGAAGAAGUAAGAGGAUUAAAAAGGUCAAAGAUUUUGGACCAGAUUUCAUUAUGUUUCUUGUAGAAGGAAAAGGUGAAAGUAUAUGCAAUAAGAAACCUUAUUGUUAUAAUACCGAAUCUGAUCCUAUUACAUUUGAAGAAGCAGUGAAAUCUCAAGACUCUGCUUUUUGGAAAGAAGCAAUAAAUGAUGAAAUGGAUUCAAUAAUGGGAAAUCAAACUUGGAUCUUAGUUGAUCUUCCACCAGGUUCCAAACCAAUAGGUUGUAAAUGGAUCUUCAAAAAGAAAAUGAAGGUCGAUGGAACCAUUGAUAAAUUUAAAGCAAGGUUGGUAGCAAAAGGUUUUACACAAAGACAAGGUAUUGAUUACUUUGAUACCUAUGCUCCAGUAGCAAGAAUUGCUACAAUUAGACUAUUAAUAUCACUUACCUCUAUAUAUAAUUUGGUUCACCAAAUGGAUGUUAAAACUGCAUUUUUAAAUGGUGAAUUGGAAGAGGAAGUGUACAUGGAGCAACCGGAAGGAUUUAUUGUUCCAGGACAAGAGCAUAAGGUAUGUAAGCUUGUUAAAUCUUUAUAUGGGCUUAAACAAGCACCAAAACAAUGGCACCAAAAGUUUGACAAGGUUGUUUUAGCUAAUGGCUAUAAAAUAAAUGAAUCCGAUAAGUGCAUAUAUAGUAAAUUUGAUAAUGGAAAGGGUGUUAUAAUUUGCUUAUAUGUAGAUGACAUGCUCAUUUUUGGCACGGAUUUGGAACAAAUAGAAAACACAAAGAAAUUCUUGUCAAACAACUUUGCUAUGAAGGAUAUUGGUGUAGCAGAUGUUAUUCUUGGGAUUAAAAUAACCCGAGAUGAAAGCACUAUAGCUUUAUCACAAUCACAUUACAUUGAAAAUGUGCUUAAAAAGUUUGAUCUUUUCAACUGUAUACCAGCAUCUACACCCAUGGAUCCUCAAUUAAAAUUAGUAUCUAAUGCUGGUAGGAAAAUUGAUCAAUUGAAAUAUGCAAGUCUAAUUGGUUGUCUUAUGUACAUAAUGACUUGUACAAGACCAGAUAUUGCAUAUGCUAUUGGAAAAUUGAGUAGAUACAUAAGUAAUCCAAGUAGUUUGCAUUGGCAAGCUUUAAAUAGAGUACUUAGGUACUUAAAGAAAACUAUUAACUAUGGAUUGUGUUAUAAUGGAUAUCCUCCAGUUUUAGAAGGGUAUUCGAAUGCUAGUUGGAUUACAAGUUUGGAAGAUCAUGCAUCUACUAGUGGGUGGAUCUUCAUUCUUGGUGGAGGAGUCAUUUCUUGGGGUUCCAAGAAACAAACAUGUAUUACUGAUUCCACCAUGGCAGCAGAAUUUAUUGCAUUAGCCGCUGCAUCUAAAGAAGCAGAAUGGUUAAGAAAUUUGCUUUAUGAUGUACCUUUAUGGCUUAAGCCAAUUUCACCUAUUUCUAUCCGUUGUGAUAGUGAGGCUACUCUAGCAAAGGCAUAUAGCCAAGUAUAUAAUGGAAAGUCUAGACACAUUGGAUUAAGACAUAGUUAUGUCCGACAAUUAAUCUCUGAUGGAGUGAUCACUAUUAAUUAUGUGAGGUCAAGUGAAAAUUUGGCAGAUCCUUUGACAAAAAGUCUUGCUAGAGAUGCAGUAAAAAGGACCUCAAAAGGGAUGGGACUCAAGCCUAUUAAUUAGAGUCACCCAUGAUGGAAACUCGACUCAACGCUUGGUAUAACGUCAAGUCUUGAGUUCAAUGAGACAAAGUACAUCAUUAGUAUGUGACUGUUAGCACUAUAAAUAAAUCCAUCCUAAGAUUAAAGUGCUAGGUACUCGUAAUGAUAAGGGAAGGAUGAGUAAUGUACUCUUAAUGGACCCAUAACAUAAAUAUGUUAGAGUGUUAUAAUUACGGGAACACUUUUGAUGGGAUCUACCUAUGUGAGUGGAAGUGUGGCCGCUUCUAGGAGCUUAAGGGCUUGGCUCUGACAGCACUCAUGAAAAGAGGACAUAGACACAUAGCUAUAAUAGUGUCCCUAGAUACUAUGCAUUGACUGAUGUUGAAAUCAUUGUGUGAGAUGUGUUCAGUUAAUCAAAUGGAAUAGUUGGUUCAAAGCUUAGUCUACCAUAAAAUUUCAAUUAACUUUAACAUGUUUUCACUAAGUGAAGGUUCAAUCGUAAGACACCUUUAUUUAUACAAAUUGAUUUCCAAGAAUAUCAAAAUCUAAUUAUUUUGAAAAUGGGGGGGGAUAAUUGUUGGAAUAUUUUCAAAUAUUUAUAGUAUCCCAAUAACUAUAAAUGAAUGGGUGUAAUUAAUCAAAAGAUAAAACUUUUGGUCAUUGAUCAAAAGUUAUAUCAUUUGAUUUUUUAAAAAAGAAUUAUAACUAUUCAACAAAUAUUAUUUGAAUAGUUACAAAAUUAAAUGAAUAAUUAUUAUUAUUUAUUUAUUCAUAAAGACACCUAUUGAAAGAUGUCUCUAUGAAGAGACAUGAAAAUUCCUAUAAAUAGGAAUGGGAUUUCAUUUGGAAAUGAUAUCAACAAAUUCUAAUAUUAUUUCUUCUCUUCCUUCAUUUUCUAAUAUUAUUAGAUUAUUCUAUAAAGUAUUGCUGCAGAAAUCCUUUGUAGAAAUUGAGUUUUUGUUAUACAUUACUCAGUGCAUAGUGGACUAUUCUCGUCAGUGCAAAACGCAAAUAGUCAUUGGCUUCAUUGUAUCCUCGAGGUUAAUUUGCUUGGAACUCGUUUGCACACUGAAGAUAAGUGGGGGCGAAUAUAACCUUAAAGAUAGUGGCUUGAUACACGCCUUGGAGCCUGUCCUAUUUCUUCUUUUUCUUUUCGAGUUCCGAUCGUGUGUUCGAGUUUUUUUUCCUUACCGGAGUUUUGUACUAACAAGACAUGGCAGAUCUCUUAAUUGAUAACAGCCACGAAGAAAUAAUGUUGUGAGGUUCUUUAGUUCAGAGAUGGAAUUUGGUAAACUCUCGAUCUUUGUAAAAGACAAAUUGAGAACACUAAGACAAGGCUUGUUCAUGAAUAAAGAAUAUGGGAUUUUCUUUACAGGGUUCCCCCGCAAUAACAAGGUUGUGAGCAGUUGACAUUUUGUAGGCAGCACACCUAUGGAAACUUCUGAUAUGGAGUUAUACAUAAGUGACACUUUCUCAAUAUCUGGACUCCAUUGCUCCUUUUCUGGUAACUCUUCUAAUUGCGAACCUGCUUGUAUCAUAUAUUGAGGAUUCAUUCUUGUGAUCGACAGUGCCAUGUCUCUCACUGCAUCAUGCAUCUUUAUGCGAUGUAAACCAAAUUCAGUGGUAAUAUUUUCCAACAAGCAAUUAUCUUCCAACUUCUUCAAAAUAACUUGGCCCUUGCCUUCCAUUUCGUGUCUUGUAGCCAUAUCAUCUAUGAAUCCCUCUUCAAUCCAGCACUCAAUUAACUCAUCCUUCCAAAUUUCAAAAUCUUCAGGAAAUAAUGCGCAAUGUAAGAAACAAUAUUUCACUUUCUCGUCCUUUAAGUGAUCGAAGCUAAAUUUCAAACGCUCUAUCACUUUAGCUUCCACUCCCUCCACUUUUUCUACUGUCUCUUUCAAUUCCCUGAGUGCGUUUUUCCAAAUAAGGGGUUUCUCUUCUCCUUUCAAUGUACUAGCUACAACAACAAUUAUAAGAGGCAGACCCGCACAUUCUUCGACAACAAGCCUCAAAAAUUGGCAUUAAAGUUCGAUUUUGCACUAUGUUAGGCCCAACUUUACUCAAGAAUAGUGUCAAUGCCUGUUGUGCUGAAAGGGGCUUCACUUUUAUCACCGUGCAAUCCAUAUACUUACAGACAUGCUCCGAACGGGUUGUCAACACCAACUUACAGCCAUUGCUGUCACUCGGCUCAGGGAUCCCAACUUCUUCUAGAGAGACUUCAUCCCACACAUCAUCUAGGAUUAGAACAUGCUUUCCUACUUUCUUCAGCAUUUCUGACAAGAUUGCAGCUCGUCUGAGCUUGUCUCCUUCUAUGGCCAAAUCUUCCUUCAACUUCAAAGCACUUGCAAUAUCAUCUUGUACCUUCAUUACACUGGACUCCUUUGAUAUGGCAUCCCAGACUACUCUUUCGAAUCUUUGUUCUUUCAAAAUAUCAUUGUGGAUGUGCUUCAUGAUCGUGGUUUUACCCACACCGCCCAUCCCCCAAACCCCAAUCUUUUUUACCUCCUCUUGCAUCAAACAUGCCCAAAUCUCUUUUCUGGCAGCUUCCUCCCCAACUAGUUCUGAUGUUGGCAGUGGCAACCCACCACUUGGACCAUCCAUGGCAAGAGCUUCAGAGGCAUUAGGAGCUUUAUCAAGAAAUUCCUUCAUUUCUCGAGUCUUUUCAUCAACCAGCUUUUCGUUCCAAGCACGACAGAGAUAUCUCCCGUUUCUGACUUUAAUUUCUACAUCCUGUGCUUCCGCAAUCAUCUCUUUCGCAUCUUUCAACCAAUUUUCAACUCCCUGCUUUGGUAUCUUCCCCCCAGGAGAAAGAAGCUCUGCUUUCAAUUGCCGCUCUAUGUCUGCCAUUUUACAAUUCAAUUCAUCUCUGAUCCUUCCGAAGUUUCUCACAUAAUCAUUCAGCUUUCUGUGAUAUUUCAAGUAUUUACAAAGAGGAGGUCCAAGACAAUUUGCAAUGCCAACACCGGGCUCUACGUAUUCCAUUUGCUCUGGCCCUGCAACGCAAUCAUAUAUGUUAGUGUAUUGGAUUUUUGAAUAAUUUUUUAUAUGUUAGUGUAAGCAUGAAAAGGAAUCAUAAAUGCAAUGGCCUUUAUUAGAUGGAGCUAUGGAUAGGUGGCAGACAGAAACAGGAUGAAAAUCAUUGCCUUAUUACCUGACUUAGUGGCUGAAAUGUGUUGAGAGAUUAGAACUGAAAAUGAAGCAGUGAAGUUGACUUCCUUGACUAUCUUACAAAGCUAGCAGAUAAUAAAAAACAAUCAUUGCAUAGUCAUGGAUGAAGCAAAUGAAAGAAAAUUACCUUUGACGGGAUGCUUGAAAUUUGGUGAUAGACCUUGGAGAUGAAAACAAAUUAAAAACAGUGAAGAAGAAAGAAUGUUGUGGGCAGAAAGGCAGAACUAUUAAGCAAAGAAAAGCAUGUAAUGAAAUAAGCAAAUGAAAGAAAAGUAGGUAGAGUGGAUGGUUGAAAUCAGUAGAGGAAAUCAUUGCCUUAUUACCUGACUUAGUGGCUGAAAUGUGUUGAGAGAUUAGAACUGAAAAUGAAGCAGUGAAGUUGACUUCCUUGACUAUCUUACAAAGCUAGCAGAUAAUAAAAAACAAUCAUUGCAUAGUCAUGGAUGAAGCAAAUGAAAGAAAAUUACCUUUGACGGGAUGCUUGAAAUUUGGUGAUAGACCUUGGAGAUGAAAACAAAUUAAAAACAGUGAAGAAGAAAGACUGUUGUGGGCUGAAAGGCAGAACCAUUAAGCAAAGAAAAGCAUAUGUAAUGAAAUAAGCAAAUGAAAGCAAAGUAGGUUGAAAUUUUGUGAAAGAAGAAAGUGUUGCGGAAGCGACGAUAAUAUUAAUAACAAUAUUAUCAGAAAUAUUUAGAUAAUUAUUAUGCCAACAAUUAUACUAAGAAAAUUCCCAGUUAAAUUGGAGGGGUCACAAAUGGUCCCGCUUAAAACCCAACAACUAGACAGAACUCACUUAGAUAUUUAUAGCAAUAAUAACUAAAUAAAUAUAACCAACAUAAAGCUAUUAAAUAUAAGCAAACAAAUAAGAAAUAAAAUACCAGAGAUUUAACGAGGUUCGGCCAAUUUAGCUUACAUCCUCGGACACUACCAAAUUAAUAUUUCUUCUAGAAAUAUUACAAAGGAGAAGAUUUUGGGAUGAUACAACCAAAGGGGGAGGGGUUCUAUAUAUAACAAACCAAGCCCCCUCCCUUUCUAUCUUUUCCUAAUGUGGGAUAUUGCCAAUAUUCAACAAAUCUCCACCUUGGCGAUAUUCCACAUCUUCGAACAUCUUCUCAUAACACUAACUUCAAUAGUGUCUUCAAAUUUGCAACCAAUCGCCUUCUUCCCUUUUGGUAGUUGUGCCAGCUUCCACGUCUUGUUUUUCUCUAGAGAUUGCAUUUCCUCUUCCAUUGCACCUAACCAUCUAUUAUUCUCUAAACUCUGAAUGGCUUUGGUGUGAGUGGAUGGAAUAUUAUCAACAACUGGAAGUGCAUAAGCUACCAUGUCAGUGAAACGAGCAGGUUUCUGAAUUUCUCGUCUCUGCCUUCUGACUGCAAUUGGCUCUGAUUGCUAUUGAGGUUCUUGGGUAGAAACCUCUUCCUCAUCUGACUCUGCAUCUGCCAAUGAAGAAUCACUAGUGGUACCUUCUGCUGGAAUUACCACACUCUGCUCAAACUCCACCUGCUGCGGAGUACACUCCACCUGCUGCGAAGUACUACUCACUCCUUCUGGAUUUACCUUAUUCAACAUGGCAGAUUCAUGAAAGGUAACAUCCCUACUGAUUAUCGUCUUCUUUGCCUCUAGACACCACAAACGAUAUCCCUUAACACCAGCAUUGAAGCCCAUGAAUAGAGCCUUCUUUGCUCUUGGAUCUAACUUUGAUUCUUUCACAUGAUAAUAUGCAAUAGAACCAAAAAUGCGCAAGGUGUCAUAAUCAGUAGCAGGUUUUCCAUACCAUUUCUCCAAAGGAGUCUUGCCAUUUAUAGCAGAUGAUGGCAAAUGAUUGAUGAGAUGUUGAGCGUACGUCACAGCCUCAGCCCAAAACUUUCUAUCUAAUCCAGCAUUAGAUAACAUACAUCGAACUUUCUCCACAAGCGUUCGAUUCAUACGCUCUGCCACCCCAUUCUGUUGCGGUGUUCCACCUACGGUGAAGUGCCUUACUAUGCCACAAUCUUGGCAUAUCUUCAGGAAUAGAUCGCUUUUAUAUUCUCCACCGUUGUCUGAUCGGAGAACCUUAAUCUUCCUUCCUGUCUGAUUUUCAACUUUAGUUUUCCACUUAAGGAAAACUUCAAGCACCUCAUCUUUGUUCUUCAUAGGAAACACCCAAACUCGUCUGGAAAAAUCAUCAAUAAAGGUGACAAAAUAACGUCUUCCUCCAAGUGAUGGAGUCUUGGACGGUCCCCAUACAUCAGAAUGCACAUAAUCCAGAAUACCUUUAGUAUUGUGAAUCCCAGUGCCAAAUUUCACCCUUCGUUGUUUUCCCAGAACACAAUGCUCGCAAAAUUCAAGUUUGCAAGUCUUUGUACCUUUCAAUAAUCCUUGCUUGGCUAGAGUUUGCAAGGAUUUUUCACCAGCAUGGCCCAAACGCAUAUGCCACAGCUGUGUUGCCUCAGCGUCCUUCUUGGUACUCGAAAUUGCUGCUGCUGUUGUCCCGACCACUGUACUACCUUGGUAGUAAUACAGAUUGUUCUUUCUUAUGCCUUUCAACAUCACCAAUGCUCCUGAAGUUGCUUUAAGAACUCCAUCUCGUAUUGUCACAACUAGGCCUUUAGAUUCUAACGACCCCAAAGAGAUGAGAUUCUUCUUCAACUUUGGGACAUAUCGUACAUCCCGCAAAAUUCUAGUAGAUCCAUCAUGACUCCUCAAUUUAAUUGAACCUAUCCCGGCUAUUUUACAUGUGUUAUCAUUACCCAUGUAAACAACCCCUUCAUCUAGUUUUUGAAAUUCAAAGAACCAUUCCCGAAUGGGACACAUAUGAUAGGAACAACCAGAAUCCAUGAUCCACUCAUCUGCAUAUAAUGUUGAAGAUGUCAUACUAAGAGAAAAGUCUGACUCUGCUUCACUAUUGCAUUCUGCAACAUUUGCAUCUUGCGGAGUCUUCCCUUUUUUCUUCAAUUUUGGACAAUCUUUCUUCCAAUGUCCUUUUUCUUUGCAAAAGGAACAUUCAUCUUUGGCAACAGCUCGACCUUUGGACUUUCUUCUCUUCCCAUUAGACUGACUUUGCUGACGACCUCUUGUUACCAAUGCUUCCACUGCUGCUUCACCUGAACCUUUCAACUUAUCCUUUCGGCGUAGUUCAUAGCUAUACAAUGCAGCAGUUACUUCAUUGAAAGUUACUUCCGAUUUUCCAUGAAGUAGAGUAGUUUCAAGGUACUCAAACUCCUCAGGAAGCGAUCCCAACAACAUUAACGCCAAGUCUUCGUCUUCAAAAGUCACAUCCAAAUUCAACAAAUCAGCCACCAGCUGAUUAAAAUUGGUAAUGUGCUCGUUCAUCGUGGUACCAGGAACAUAAUUGAAACGAAACAGUCUUUUCUUCAUAUGCAACUUAUUUUGACUGUUCUUCUUCAAGAAUUUCUCCUCCAAUGCUUUCCACAAUUUACUUGCAGAAGUCUCUUUACUGAAUGUAUACUUCUGCUCUCUGGAAAGACAUGAUCGAAUUGUACCACAUGCCAAUCGGUUGAUGGUCUUCCAUUCUUUAUCAUCAACCCCUUCUGGUUUUUCUUCCUCAAUGGCAAUAUCUAGACCCUGUUGAAAGAGGGCAUCUAGAAGCUCACUUUGCCACAUGCCAAAAUGACCUGUUCCAUCAAAAAUUUCCACUACAAAUCUCGUAUUUGCAGUUCCAAUCCUCGGCAAAAUGUACGAAGUGGAAGUUGUUGAUAUGGAUGGUUUUUCUUCUGUCAUUUUUGCCAUAGCUUCUACUUAAUAGCCACCAAAUGCAGAAUACCCACAAGCUUUAGGAAAUGUUUCUGAUGUGUAAGAUCAGACUAAGCUGCAAACACAGAGCAUACUACAAAACCUUGGCUCGGAUACCAAUUGUUGCGGAAGCGACGAUAAUAUUAAUAACAAUAUUAUCAGAAAUAUUUAGAUAAUUAUUAUGCCAACAAUUAUACUAAGAAAAUUCCCAGUUAAAUUGGAGGGGUCACAAAUGGUCCCGCUUAAAACCCAACAACUAGACAGAACUCACUUAGAUAUUUAUAGCAAUAAUAACUAAAUAAAUAUAACCAACAUAAAGCUAUUAAAUAUAAGCAAACAAAUAAGAAAUAAAAUACCAGAGAUUUAACGAGGUUCGGCCAAUUUAGCUUACGUCCUCGGACACUACCAAAUUAAUAUUUCUUCUAGAAAUAUUACAAAGGAGAAGAUUUUGGGAUGAUACAACCAAAGGGGGAGGGGUUCUAUAUAUAACAAACCAAGCCCCCUCCCUUUCUAUCUUUUCCUAAUGUGGGAUAUUGCCAAUAUUCAACAGAAAGAAUGUUGUGGGUACAAAGGCAGAAGUAUUAAGUAAGGAAUCCCAUCUUUUUUUACUUUUCCUUUGCUUCUGCCCUGAUUUACAAUUUGAUUCUUCUUUAAAUCUGUAUAAAUCACUAAUCUGCCAUGUCCUUUCCAUUCAUUCUGGACAUUACUAACAAGUUUUGAAGUCAUCUUGGUGCUCAAUUGUAACAACAACAUCAGCAGCAGCAGCAGCAUAAUAAUGGGAAAGUAUGGUCUAAGAAUGCCUAAUUAUAUGUUACAACUUGAAAUAAAUAUUUAGUUACGUACAUAUAAAUUCCUUCAUAAGUUACACUUUUAAAUCCAAAUUGUGGUUUAUUGAUUGGGUGUUCCCUAUUAGAAAUAGCCGAAAUUCAAAUUAUCAUUGUACCCAAAUUUGAAAUUGUUUUAAAAUUUUAGAAUAUUAUAAAAUUUAAAAGUAAAUAACAGUAGAUAAACAUUUCAAAAAUAGAGAAAAUGAGGGAAAAACAUUUCAAUAUUUUUUUUUCUACAAUUUUUAUAUACAUUUUUCUAUUUUAUAAAUAAUUUUGAGUUUUUUUUAUAAUCUUUAUACAAAAUUAAGAUCAAAUUGAUAGAAAAUAUAAAAAUUGAGAGCAAUAAUUAUUAUUAUACCAAUUGAAACAAAUUCCAAUUAACAGUUGGGUGACAAAAAAAAAAUUCAAAAACAUUAGUGAUGAAAUUGUAAUUUUUUUAGUUAAGUGAUAAAAAUAAAAAAACUUACCCAUAAUUGGAUCACUAAUGGUCUAAUUUACCCUAAAUUCUUUUAAAAUUUUUAGUUUAAAACUUUUUUUUAUAAAUACUAUGUAUUAAGCCUUUUAUGUUAGUGCCGCUAUCAAUCAAAUCACAACUCAAUAAGAAAGUUAUCAAAAAACUAUUUUAUUUGAAAAGUAAAAUAUAUGAUUAUGAGAAUGUUUUCGUCUUUUUAUACUUUUAUAAAUUAAUAAAAAAAAUUAUCCAUAAUGAGAUUUGAACUAAUGACAUUCACUUGAAACUUUAAUAAUUAUAUCUAUGUUCUAAAUUUUUAUUUAUUUGUGUAUAUAAAAAAUGUUGUUGAUUUAGUGUCACAAAUGAACACGGCACCAACUCAGAAUUGAAAACAAAACAAUGAUAAUCAAUUGUAUUCAUUUAGUAUUUUUAAUCUGAUGUGUUUUUUUUGUUGUUUAGAUUUCGUUUUACUCACAAUUUAUUCUAAUUUUUAUUUUAAUAUAGUGCAUAUUUUAUAUGGUAUUAUUAAUUAGUUCCAAAUUUGAUAGCAAGUUACUUUAAUAUAUUUAAUAUACCCAAUUUUGGUAAACUUUUUAAUAGAAUUCUACUAAACUUGUGAUUUAUUGCCCAAAUUUUAUCAUGGACACAAUUGGAGUGCCGAAGUUCAAAAACAAACAAAUUGAGCUAAAUUGGAACAAAAAACAAGUUGGGGAGCUGAAUUGAAAGUUGCAAAAUUAAUUUUGGGAUGAUAAAAAAUAUUAGAUUUUUUACUUUGACUAAUUCUAUAUUUAGAAAAAUUUGAUUUAGUGGUUGCUUGUUAAGCAUAAUUCUAAGAGUAAAAUGAUGUGAAAUUGAUUCUUUGAGAUCCGUAUAUAAAGGUUUUUAAUUGUGGCACGAAUACACACUUUGAAUUUAAAAAGACAGUUUAGCACAUUCUUGCGUCUAUUGCAUUUGAAGCAAUCUGCCAUUGUUUUUCUCUUUUUAUGUUUUGGUGCAAUUUCCCUUUUAGUUCUCUCCUUUCUUCACCUAUUAUCUUUCAUUAAAAUUCACUCUCAUAAUCCAAUCAAGUAUGAUUAAUUCAUGUUCAACCAAUCUUCGUUUAGCUUUAGACCGGUUAUCAUUUCGACCAAGAAACAUGAGAAAUGAACCCACGCUAAAACCUUACAAUACGGUAUUCAUUAUCUUUCCGUAAUAUGAGAAAGUUACAAUUAUCCCUUAAAGUUAAUUCAAUUUCAACUCAAAAAGUGUGGAUUUGAGUUGCUUGGUGUACAGUUAAGAAAAUGAGUUGUUAUUCUCUUUGUCAAUUUGAUGUUGAUAAUAUAUAAAUUGGUAAAAAAAUUAAAAUUAUUUUUAAAAUUUUAUAAAAUUAUAAAAUUAAAAAUUAAAUAAAAAUAGAUUAAAAAUUCAAAAAUAAAUAAAGUGAGAGAAAAUUAGGGGUAAUUGUUUUUAAACCCUCCAAUAUUUCUCUAUAUUAUCUGUAUCAAAAUAUUCAAUACCCAUUAUUUUAAAAAAAACAUAGAAAAGAAAAACAUUAAUCAAAAUUAUUUGAUCUCUGUUUUUUACUUCUUCUGUUUCUUGACAUAACUUUUACGUUGUAAGCAAAGAUAAAUUUCUGAAUAUAAUUUAUUUUUACAAUUUGGGUUUUGAAAAAUAAUUUAUAGGUAAUGAAAUUUUGAAUUGAGUUUGAAAAAAAAUUUGUGGUAUAUUUUGUAUUCUUCUAAAUAAAAAAAUGGCAUUAGGGUCAAUUUUAUAAGCCUCAAAAAAUAUCAAAUCUAGAUGUCAUUUAAGACCAUGAAACUCAACUUGAUAAUAGUAAUGAUUUGAUUUCAAGAAAUAUUGAGGAAUCAUGUAAUGAUCUAACUCUUUUUUUUUGGGGGGUUUUGUUCUCUUUUUAAUUUGUUAUCGAAUUCUAUUCUCCAUCUUCUAAUAUUCCUAGAUUGUUUUAUGAGAAAUUACUGUAGAAGUUCUUUAUAGAAAUUGGUAUUCUUGCUAUGCUCCAUUCAAUGCUCAGUGAAUUAUUUUUGUCAGUGCAAAACAUUGACAAUCAUUAGGUUUCAUUGUAUCCUCAAGGUCAAUUUGCGAGUAACUCUUCUGCACAACAAUAAAUAAUUGGGGGCGAAUAGAACUUUAAAAUAGUAGCAUCAUAAAACCUUUUUUAAUUUCUCUGAAAUUCAUUUUUAUCACCAAUAGCAAUUAUGGGAACAAUAAUCAAAGAAAACAAACAAUAUUAUGAGUCAAUUUUUAUGGUGUUCAGGGCAACUUUCGUUUUUAAGUUCCACAAAGGUAAAGUAAAUUCCAUCUUUUCUUAUUAUUAGUUUUUUCCUUUGCAGUAUUCCAUUAUUGUUGGCACUAUUGUUCUCUACAAUGAUUCUAAAAUAUAAUAUUUAUAAUUAAUCAUAUGUAUCUAAAUUAGAGCAAAUAGCAGUCUUAUGAUUUACAUUAAUGCAACAUUUCAUGUUGCCUCUGAUUCCAAUUCUUUUAGUCCCCUCCAUGUUCCACCUUCAAGAAAAAACAAGAGAGAAUGAACCUAAAUUUGGAUACCUAAUCCUUCCUCUAUGAAAUCAGAGUUACCUUCAGAUUUUAAUUCCAAUACCGACAUUGUAACGCCCUGAUUAUUUAACUUUAUUUCUGUGAAUUUUUUCACAAAUAUGUGUCUACUUCAGUGGCUAAGUGUUUUGAUUGUGUUUGAUGUUUUGGGUUCAAGUCCCAUUUUUUGAAAUUUUUGCUAUUUGUGAUUCUAGCCUAUUCCUUGGCGGUUUGACUUAUAUUCUAUUGCUAGUCAGAUCAUAUUAGAAUGAGCUUGCUGGUUUGAGUGGUAAGGUGUUAACUUGCCCUGAGGUCUUGUGUUCAAAUAUUUGUAUGAUUGUGAAUGAUAAUUUUUGUUGCAGGUGUCUGAUAGGGGUUCAGUAGAGUUUAAAUUCUGAGGUAGUUGGAUGUGGAUGGAAGUGUCGGAUUUGAUGAGAUGAGUGGGGAGUUGGGGGAAAUUAGUGAUAUUUUAUUAAAAAUUUAAUUUUAAUUUUAAUUUUCUUUUCACAAAAAAAUCUCCUAUCUUACUAUUUUAUUUUUAGUUUUAUUUUAUUCAAAAUAUCCAUUAAAACCAUUUUAAGAAAUUGAAGUUACCAUAUUAAAAUUUAAUAUACAAAAUCAAGUUAUGUAAAUUUUCAAAGCAUUUCGUGUUGUUUAAGGAUUCUAAUUUUAUUGUGUAAAAAUCAGAACUUAUUUGCAAAAGUUUCAAAAUAUGCCCAAAACUCUCUGAUCACCGUGUCGCGACCUCAUGAUUCCCAUGUUGCAACAUCGACCCAAUAUCAGUAUCACGAUAUGGACUUGAAAACUUGCAGGAAAAUUUCAGUACUUGGGUUGGACACUUUCACACCCUCGUACACAUACCAAAUCGAGAUUUCAUGCUAUUCUCCCUAUUUUAACAUGUCAUAUAACUUACAUUAACAUGUUUUGACGUCUCAAGUAAAUUGCUAUUCUAUCAUUCAACCCUAAAGUCACAAUUCAAUUACUCAAAAUGUAAUUUUUGUAUUUUAAGCAUUUCUAAGUGUAUAAUUGAUACAUAAAAUACUAUAUGGUCAUUUUGGACUUACCUCAAUACGCAACAAGCCAGUCCAGCAGCAAUUUACAUGUUAGCCAAUAAACAAGUACACAACACCUUACUAAUUCAACCAAUAACAUGCAUUCUCAAAUCUUCCAUUGAAACCGUUCAUUCGAACCAAUUUUAAAAGUUCUAAAAACCAUUUUAAACAACCCAUAUUGUCCAUUAAUAAAUCAUUAACAGUUCAAAGUCUAAAACCCUCUAGAUUAGUCCCACAUUGCCUUCCUUAUUGAUUUAAAAACACACCAAACGUAGUCAAGUUAAAUUGUCUUGCUUUGGAUCACUUGGCAGCUCACUUCUCCUCCUCGUUUCAGCUAUAUCUCUGCACUGUUAAAUAUAAAAGAGUGUGAGCUUUUUCAAGCUCAGUGAGUGCUUAGAGAUUGCCACAAGUAAUCACAAUAUCCAAAGUUAGAAGAAAGCAUACAAUCACAAUUAAUCACGGUAAGCAAUAAAGCAUAAUUCAUAGCAUUCACAUUAAUAUGUUGCCAGAAUGUGAUUAUGAAGCAUAUGUACAAAAUAUAUUGCAUUGGGUAACCAGAUUUCCAAAUACAACCAAUAUAAUGUGUAGCGUAAAGCUAUCACCCUCCAAACACAUCCACUUAAACAUGUAUACUUAUUGUUUUAUGCACACUUUCACAUAUCACACAACUCAUGUUCAUAUCACAUAUUCAAGUCUCAUAUCAUGCACUUACAAGUGCUCACAUUAUGCUCAAAUAGUCACAACAUAUAGAUCUCAUAUAGUGUAUAUAAAAUCAGCAAGACUCAUAUCAUAUUCAGUCAUCAACACAUAACAUUUUUUAUUGUCAUCUCAAUUUACAACACAUAACAUAUCACAUUUAAGCAUCAAUUGCAAAUCAUCAUUAGUUUAGGUAGAAACACUUACUAUUGAAAAUUGGACGGUGUGGAUAUGUUUGGAUAGCUAGAAAAUCAUUAAGGGUGAGUUAAUUUUGAGAGAAAAUAUUAGAGUUGAAUUUGGGGAAAUUUUGAAUGUGAAAUUCAAUGGAGGGAAGGGACGUCGGGUUCUUAAAGAAAUGGGGAAGAUGAGUAGUUUUUUUUUUUUUAAAUAAGGAAAAAUUGCAUUUUAAAAACUUCCAGUUUUCCUUUAUUUUUCAAUUCAGACCUUAGUUUAAUUAAAACGCAUUUUUCUCAAUUAUUUUCAAAUCCGAUAUUUUUAAAAGGUCCAUUUUAACCAAAUUAAUUCCCGAAUACCCAAUUUUAAUUUCUUAACAUAAAAUUAUUAAUUAUAUUAAUUUUAAUACUUUAUUUAAUUAAUUCCUAAUUAUUUUAAUGAUCUAACUUAAUUAUGAUUUUUGAUUCACUAACCCCGAUUUACUAUCUCGAUUUUUGGGAUGCGACAUGACAGCAUUAUGUAAAUAUGAUAUAAUAAUAAUUACUGAUAGCAUACAAAUAAAUUGUUGAUUACAUACCCUAUUGUAUAAACUAAAAUAUAAUUAUACUACAAGUUCUAUAAUAUGAUAUCUAAUGGGUUAAUUUUUAAAAUUGCAUAUUUUAAAAUUAAAAAAAAAUAUAAAAAUGUUAAUUUAUAAUUAUUCCUAACUUAUAUGCUUUUCAAUGUUACAACUUUUAUUAGAAUUAUUAGUAAAAAAAUGCAUAAAUGAUUGAUAGCAUAAUCAUUUUAAAGACAAAUAAUUAUAAAUUAAUUAUAUAAAAGUAAGUGAUAACAUUUUGUACUUUGUUAAUAUAAAAAAGGGUAAACACUUAAUAACAUAGUAAUAAAUAAUUUAUAAUACAUGAAUAAAUAAUAAAGAAAUAAUAUAGUAUAAAAUUAAAUAAUUAAUAAUACAAUAUAGUAAUAAAAUUUAUAAAUAUCAUUAUUUUUAAUGCCUAAUCGUAUAUACAUCAUUUUAAUUAAUAAAAAUUUAUAAUAUUGUAAAUAAUACCAUGAUGAUAGUUUUUUCUCACCUUAAAUUAUUUUGAUUAAAAUAUGUUGUUUUUAGACAUUAAAUACGUGAUUUCCAAGGUAUAUGCGUGUGAUAAAAUUUUUAGUAUUAUUUUAACCUUUCAGACAAUAAAAUUUUUAAUUAUUAGACUCUUGAUAUACUCUUAAAAACAAUCUACAUUUUUUUCUAAAUCUAGACCCAUUUUUGGCCUAGCUCGGUCAAUCCAAAAAAUAACUCAUUUUCCUGUUCAAAAAUAAUAAAAUAAUUUUAUAUUAAUAUUUUUAUAUUUAAAUAUAAAUUUAUAAAUAUUUUUACUUUAAAAUUUGAAGCGAAUAUAUAUUAUUAUAUAAAAUUUGAAAUUUAUUAAAAUUUACGAAAUAAUAGAUUAGUGUUAAAUGUGAUAAAAGGUCAUAAUAAUAUCAAAAUAAGUUUAUAACUUAAAUGUUUUAAUUAUAAAUAUGAAAAUUUAGAAGGUUAUUUUGGGAAGUGUAUAUAUAUAUAUUAGAGAAGAGAGAGAAUAGGAGGAACGGUAAGAGAGGGAAAAUAUUUAAAAAGUGAAAGUUUGAUUUCUUAUUUACCUUUGCCUCUCAGCCUCCAUGCUCUUCCAUCAUUCCUUUUCUCCUCUCUUUUGCACUAUCCUGCCCCCUACUUCUUUCCAACAACCCUACUUCCAUCAUUCCAUCUUUCUCUUCAACAUCAUCACAAAUAUACAUCAAAUUUUAUUAAUAUGGAGAAAUUAGAUUUAUCAAAAAAAAAAACCAUAAAUGGUUCAUACCUCUUAUCCUCGACGGGGGAUUAAAGCGAAGAACAUUUUUAUAGUUUGGAUGGUCAUCCCACUCCAACGAUUCCCACCAUUCUUUCCAUGACCUGAUGGUAAGAGAAGGUGGAGCAUAUGCAAAUGGCUGCCCAUUGCCAACAAGGGGAACAAAUGGAGGAAUUCUCUUCAGUUUAUCACAUCUAAUAAUAUGGAUAAGUUGGAGAGAAUCACAAACCAUCACUCCGCUUUUGCUGCAAAUGCUCUUCAAAUUUGGUAAUACACUGAACGACAAUUUUCUCAAUUUGGGAAGAUGGAAUUUGAUUAAUGCAUCACUCCCUUUUUCUUCAACUUCUGAUGUUUCUGCUCCCAAUAUUUCUACUAACUCAUCACAAUGAUCCACUGACAUUUCUUCCAGGUUUUGGAGGUUUGGAAGCAACCAAUGUGGAAGCAACAUCUUCAUACUUGAGCAGCUGUAUAUCGUAAUUUCCUUAAGAUGGGAAAAGCUGGCAGACGGAGCCACUGUUGAUGUUGUUGCUGAACCAAUUCCUGCAUCUUUUAUAAUAAGGGCACUCAACUUUGGCAGAUCUCCAAGAUCUAACACCUCGAGGCUCUGAAAUGGAUGAGCGGAAGAAGAGACAAAAGAGGACGGGGAAGCAACACACUCUAUCCCUUCACACCCCCAAAUACUACAAACCCUCAAGUCAAUCGCAUUUUUGAAGGAAGAAUUAUCAUCGACUAAGUUUCUCGAAUAGUCGCACUUUAAAAUAUUCAACUCUUGAAUUUCAAUUGGGUACAUAAUUAACUCACCUUCCCAAUUGUCGACUCCUCCAAUUGCUACUGUUUUAUCUCUUGUAGGAGGCAUAAAAGAUGGGCCCAGCUGUAAAGAGGACCUGAUGAAAGAUGAGCCCACCUGUAAAGAGUACUUGAUGAGAUUUUUCUUACUUUGUUGCAUUGAGGAGAUGAACUUAUUGAAUUCACUGAUGUCUUCGAAAUGUCCGGUUAAGCACUCCAACUUCUUCAGUGGUUCCAUCUCCUCUGCUUUUAGACUAAUUUGUUUAUCAAAACCCAAGUGCUGAAGGUGAAUGAGUUUUGGUAAAAGUCCAGCGGGUAUCUCUUUCAGAGUGCGCACUUGAAGAUCAAGAUAUCUUAGCUUUAUCAACAUAUCCAUUCCUUCAGGGACUUCCUCAAUUUUAGUCCCAGAAAGAUCCAACUUCUUCAAUUCUUGAAGCAUCGAAAGACAUGGUAGGUCUCUUAAAUCAUAACAACCACGAAGCAACAAUGUUGUGAGGUUCUUUAGUUCAGAGAUGGAAUUUGGUAAACUUUUGAUCUUCGUAGAGGACAAAUUGAGAACACUAAGACAGGGCAUGUUUGUGAAGAAAGAAUAUGGGAUCUUCUUUAUAGGGUUACCCUGCAAUAACAAGGUUGAGAGCAGUUGACAUUUUGUGGGCUGCACAUCUAUGGAAAUUUCUGAUAUGGAGUUAUACAUAAGUGACACUCUCUCAAUAUCCGGACUCCAUUGCUCCUUUUCUGGUAACUCUUCUAAUUGCAAACCUGCUUGUAUCAUAUAUCGAGGAUUCAUUCUUGUGAUCGACAAUGCCAUGUCUCUCACUGCAUCAUGCAUUUUCACGGUUACACUCGAGACAUUUUCCAACAAGCAAUUAUCUUCUAAUUUCUUCAAAAUAACAUGACCCUUAUCUUUCAUUUCUUGUCUUGUACUCAUAUCAUCUAUGAAUCCCUCAUCAAUCCAGCACUCAAUUAGCCCAUUCUUCCAAAUUUGACAAUCUUCAGGAUAUAAUGCGCAAUGUAAGAAACAAUGCUUCAUUUUCUCUUCUUUUAAGUGAUUGAAGCUAACUUUCAUACUCUCGAUCACUUUAUCUUCCCCUUCUUUCACUUUCCCUAUUCUCUCUUUCAAUUCCCUGAGUGUGUUUUUCCAAAUAAGAGGGUCAUCUUCUCCUCUCAAUGUACCAGAUAUGACGACAAUUGUAAGAGGCAGACCUGCACAUUCCUUGACAACCAGCUUCAAAGUUGGCAUUAAAGUUUGAUUUUGCACUAUGUUAGGUCCAACUUCACUCAAGAAUAGUAUUGGAAAUUGGCCAACCAUGCUGCUGUUACAUUUUGUGGUUGAAGUGCAUGCAGCUUGAUGACAUGCUGCAGCACAUAUGCUUGCUGUAACAGCAAGGUUUCUCUUUAGUUUCAUUCUAAUUAAUCUAGUUUAAAAUGGACAAGUUGAUGACAACUUGAUGCAUUAGGUGUUGAAUGACUAGUUUAGGUGGCUUGUUUAUGUGUACAAGCAAUGUUUUAAUAGUCCCAAUGCUGAUUAGUGGGGUUAGUUGACUAUUUGGUGAUGUAUUUGACUAUAAAUGUAUGUUUUUUCUAGUUGAAUGAAUGAGCUGAAUGAGCUAUCAGCCAUUAGCUCCCUUGCUGCACAUUUGUGAGCAAGUAAAAAUGCUUCUUGCACCUUGCUUCAUGUUCUGUGCUCUUGUUCUCUCUUUUGUUGCUGCCUCUUGCACCAACAAAUAGUAUCAAUGCCUCUUCUUCUGAAAGGGGCUUCACUUUUAUCACCUUACAGCCCAUAGACUUACAAACUUGCUCCACACGGGUUGUCAACACCAACUUGUACCCAUUGCUGCUACUUGGCUUAGGGAUCCCAAUUUCUUCCAACAAGACUUCACUCCACACAUCAUCUAGGAUUAGAACAUGUUUUCCUGCUCUCUUCAGCAUUUCGGACAAGAUUGCUGCUCGUCUGACCUUGUUUGCCUCUUUGGGAAUCUUUCCAUUCAAUGCACUUGCAAUAUCAUUUUGUAACUUCACAAUAUUGAACUCCUUUGAUAUAGUAACCCAAACCACCCUUUCAAAUCGCUGUUCUUUCAAAAGAUCAUUGUGAAUGUGCUUCAUGAUGGUCGAUUUACCCACGCCGCCCAUCCCCCAAACCCCAAUCUCGCUUACCUCCUCCUGCAUCAAACAUGCCCAAAUCUCUUUUCUGACAGCUUCCUGUCCAACUAGUUCUGAUGUUUCCAGUGGCAACCCAGCACUUGGACCAUCCAUGGCAAGACCUUCAGAGGCAUUAGGAGCUUUAUCAAGAAAUCCCUUCAUUUCUCGAGUCUUUUCAUCAACCAGCUUCCCGUUGCAAGCACGACAGAGAUAUCUCCCGUUCCUGACUUUGUUUUCAACAACUUGUGCUUCCGUAAUCAUCUCUUUCACAUCUUUCAACCAAUUUUCAACUCCCUUCUUCGGUAUCUUCCCCAGAGGACGAAGAAGCUCUGCUUUCAGUUGCAGCUCUAUAUCUUCCAUUUUGCAAUUCAAUUCAUCUGUGAUCCUCUUGAAGUUUCUCACAUAAUCGUUCAGCUUUCUGUGAUAUUGCAAAUAUUUACAAAAAGGAGGUCCGAGACAAUUUGCAAUGCCGACAACAGGCUCUACGUACUCCAUUGCUAUGUCCCUGCAAUGCAAUCAUAUAUAACAGUAGCAGAGAAUGAAAAUUUGUGAAUGAAUUGGAUAUUUUAUGAAGUAUUGAUAUGUCAGUGUAAGCAUGAAAAGGAAAACAUGAAUGCAAGUUCCAAGCAAUGGCGUUUAUUAGAUGGAGCUAUGGAUGGGUGGCAGACAGAAACAUGAUGAAAUUCUGGUCACCAUUGUAUAUCCAGAAUCAACCUCUCAAACUAUAUAACAUGCUAGAUUCAAGUGUGCAAGAGUUCAUUACAUAAUAUUAAGAGGUAAAAUGUUCAACAGCAUGAGAUUUCAACAUUAUAUUGCUUCUGGGUAGCGCUUUUCGUAUUAAUUUGUAUCUGUAGUAGACUAUGUCUGCUGAUCAUCCUGUCUUAAAAUUGAUAAUCAGUAGAGGAAAUCAUUGCUUCAGAUCGUAUUACCUUGACUAUCUAACAAAGCAUAGCUUUUUUCGUAUUAAUUUGUAUCUAUAGUAGAUUAUGUCUGCUGAUCAUCCUGUCUUAAAAUCCAAAACUGUUGAUAAUCACUAGAGGAAACCAUUGCUUGAGAUCUUAUUACCUUGACAAUCUUACAAAGCUAGCUGCUAUAACAGUAGCUGAUAAUAAAAAAACAUUGUAUAGUCAUGAAUUAAGCAAAUGAAAGAAAACUACCUUGACUGGAUGCUUGAAAAUUAGUGAUAGACGUUGGAGAUCAAAAGAAAUUAAAAAGAGUGAAGAAGAAGGUGAAAACAGAAAUAAGCAAAAUUGUGAUAGGAAUUACUGGGAAAGUAUGUGAAGAAGAAGAAGAUAGAGAAAAUAAUUAAUAAUUAAUGGGAAAGCAUCAUUACAUGGAUAUGAGUAAGAAAUCCAUCUUUUUUUUUACUUUUUUCUUUGCUGUCACCCAUUAUAAUUGGCAUUAAAUAAUAAUAAUUAUAAUAAUUAGGCUUAAUGAUAAAUUUGAUCACUAACUUUUACUUGUUUUGUCAAAAUGACCCUAAUUCUAUUUUUGAACUUUUAUUUACCAUCUACCUUUGUUUCAAUAUUUCUUUUCUUUCAAAAAAUUUUCAAUCUUUCGUAUGUUUGUUUACUGAGAAGUUAUUCUACCGAGGUAAUUUUUUUUUUUAAAUAAUUACUCAGCAACAAUCGUAAGCGAAGGUUUUGGUAUGUGACUUCCCAAAUAAACCUUUGUUUUGCUUUUACCCUUCUUUGGGUUUGUUGAGAAAUUUUGUGUGAUUUUGUUGAUAUCAUUUUUCAGGUUAUGCAGCGAAUAGGUAAAGAUGAAUGGAUAAAUACUUCUGGGUUUCUUGUUUUCUUAAUUAGCGUUUAGGGUUUAAUUAAAAAAAUUGUGUUUUUGUUUAACAUUUUAUAGAAUCGACCCAGAAGAGAGUUUUGUCAAAGUAGUGAAGAAAUAUGGGCUUCCCCAAGAUGAAGGUGUAAAAUCCUUCAUUUCCAACCCGCCAGCCCAGCCUUCUGGUAAAAUGUUUUUGGAUAUUUUCUUAUAAUAAGAGUGUACAUUCUGGAAAUGUAUUGGGAAAAGAAAGGGUUGUGUUGGUUAUGAUGAGUAAGGCUACCAUGAGGUGCUGGAGAGGAGAGGUGGAAUUUUAGCAUUGAAACAGAUAGUGAGGGUAAUAGUUGAUCCUCUUCUGCUUUAAUGUUUUACUUGACACAUCAGUUAAUUUGAAACGUAGGAGAUUUUGCAGUGUGUCACGAGUACAGAGUGACAAAGAAAUUAUGAGAGAAGUACAGGCAAUCAUGGCACGAAUUGUUUCAACUAAUACUUACUUGUCAUGCCUUGAUGAACCAUGUAGAGCACUAUUUGAGUUCAAUUUUUUAAAAGCUUUCCCAUGCCCCAAUAUGUGUUAAUGAUGUAUGAUUUGUUAGGGAUGAUACAUUAGUUUUUAAAUAAUAUUUAAAGCAACAAUGUCGUGAGGUUCCUUAGUUCAGAGAUGGAAUUUGGUAAACUAUCGAUAUUCGUAGAGGACAAAUUGACACAAAGGUAAGGCAUCUUUCUGAAGAAAGAAUAUGGGAUCUUCUUUAUAGGGUUAUGCUGCAAUAACAAGGUUGUGAGCAGUUGACAUUUUUUGGGCAGCACAUCUAUAGGAAUUUCUAAUAUGGAGUUAAGCAUUAGCGACACUUUCUCAAUAUCCGGACUCCAUUGCUCCUUUUUUGGUAACUCUUCUAAUUCCAAGCCUGCUUGUAUCAUAUAUCGAGGAUUUGUACUUGUGAUCGACAAUGCCAUGCGUCUCACUGCAUCAUGCAUUUUCACUUUUGCACUCGAGACAUUUUCCAACAAGCAGUUAUCUUCCAACUUUUUCAAAAUAGUAAGGCCCUUAUCUUCCAUUUCUUGUCUUCUAUCCAUUUCAUCUAUGAAUCUCUCAUCAAUCCAACACUCGAUUAGUUCAUCCUUACUAAUUUCAAAAUCUUCAGGAUAUAAUGCACAAUACAAGAAGCAAGAUUUUACUUUCCCAUCUUUCAAGUGAUCAAACCUAAAUUUCAAAUGCUUGACUACCUCAGCUUCCACUUCUUCCACUUUCGCUAUUCUCUCUUUCAAUCCCUUGAAUGCAUUUUUCCAAAUGCGAGGGUCAUCUUCUCCUUUCAUGGUCCCAGCUACCACAACAAUUGGAAGAGGUAGACCCGCACAUUCGUUGACAACAAGCUUCAAAGUUGGCAUUAUAGUUGGAUUUUGAACUAUGUUAGGUCCAACUUUAUUCAAGAAUAGUAUCAAUGCCUCUUCUUCUGAAAGGGGCUUUACUUUUAUCACCUUUCAACCCAUAUACUUACGGACAUGCUCUGAAUGGGUUGUCAGCACCAACUUGCAGCCAUUGCGGCCACUCGGCUCGGGGAUCCCAACUUCCUCUGGAGAGACUUUAUCCCACACAUCAUCUUGGAUUAGAGCAUGUUUUCCAGCUCUCUUCAGCAUUUCCGAUAAGAUUGCUGCUCGUCUAACCUUGUUUCCUUCUUUGGCCAAAUCUUCCUUCAAGUUCAAGGCACUUGCAAUGUCAUCUUGUAACUUGAUAACAUUAAAAUCCUUUGAUAUAGUAACCCAGAUUACGCUUUCGAAUCUUUGUUCUUUCAAAAGAUCAUUGUGGAUGUGCUUCAUGAUAGUGGUUUUACCCACACCGCCCAUUCCCCAAACCCCAAUCUUGCUCACCACCUCCUGCAUCAAACAUAACCAAAUCUCAUCUCUCACAGCUUUCUCACCAACUAGUUCUGAUGUUUCCAGUCGCAACCCACCACUUGGACCAUCAAUGGCAAGACCUUCAGAGGCAUUAGGAGCUUUAUCAAGAAAUUCCUUCAUUUCUCGAGUCUUUUCGUCAACCAGCUUCCCGUAGCAAGCAAGACAGAGAUAUCUCCCGUUACUGACUUUGUUUUCAACAACUUGUGCUUCCCUAAUCAUCUCUUUCACAUCUUUCAACCAAUUUUCAACCCCCUUUUGGUAUCUUCCCGGGAGGCCGAAGCUCUGCUUUCAAUUGCAGCUCUAUAUCUUCCAUUUUGCAAUUCAAUUCAUCUCUGAUCCUCUUGAAGUUUCUCACAUAAUCAUUCAGCUUUCUGUGAUAUUGCAAGUAUUUACACACAGGAGUUCUGAGACAAUUUGCAAUGCCAAGAACAGGCUCUACGUACUCCAUUGCUAUGUCCCUGCAAAGCAAUCAUAUACAACAGUAGCAGAUAAUAAAAACCGUGAAUGUAUUGGAUUUUUUAUGAAGUUUAGAUAUGUCAGUGUAAGCAUGAAAAGGAAACAUGAAUGCAACUUUCAAGCAAUGGCAGACAGAAGCAUGAUGAAACUCUGGUCACCAUUGUAUAUCGUUUACCGAAUCAAUAAUUAAUAAAAAAAUUUAAAUCUAUAAAAUCAUUUAAUAAAACAACAACAACAACAACUUAAGGGUAGUCUUCUGCUUUCAUAUUUAUUUGCAAAUUAAUAUAAUAUAAUUACUUAUAAUUAUAAUGAAUUCAUUGGUAAUGCUUUUAUGGGUUGCCUACCGUUCAAUUAAGGGAUGGACUUUAGGUUUUGGCUCAUAGGCUUGGGUUUGGGUCUAAAAUUAGGCCAUGCCUUCACAUUUAGAAAAUAAUUUGUCUUUAUUUAUUUAUUAUUUCAUAUAGCAUUUGGUGGAGAUUUUUAAAUUUAUUAGAUUCUAAUGUAACAUGAAUUGAAUAUGAUUUGAAGUAUUUAAUAUUCAGUUCAUUUUUAAAUAUUUUAUUUUUAACAUAUAUUAAUUCAACUAUUAUAAUAGAAAAUGUUCAAAUUAUAAUUAAAUUAUUUUUAUCAUAUUCAACAUAUAAUAUAACUUUACUUUAUGUGAUUAAUGCAAAGUAACAUUACUCACAAUAAUAACUCUAUUUUAUAUCAAUAAAAUUAGCACAAACUUUUUUACGUCUAAAGUUUUUUAACUAAUAAUUGUAAUUAUUGAUUAUAAUUAUAAUUGUAAUGAUCAUAUUUUUUAUAUAUUAUAUGUUUAGUGUUUCAAGUAAUAACUCUAUUUUAAAAUUAGCGCAACUUUUUAACUAAAAAUUGUAAUUAUUUUUAAAUGUGUAAUUAUCACGACUUCUAUUUUAAUUCAAUUUUUUAUUUUUAAAUAUAUUUUUUUAAUAUGAUGAAAAACAAAAAAAUAUUCUCCUCUAUUAAAAACAAUUUCUAAACUCGUGAUUUUAUAUUAUUUAUAUAUAAGCGUGUUAAAUAUUUUUUAUAUGGAUUUUAUUUCUUUUAAAGGCAUCAAUUUAAAAUAUUUGGUGAUUUCUUAUGACAUGUUCAUCAUAUAUGUAUUUAAAAGUAAACAUUUAUUUAUUCAAAAAUUUCUAAUACUUUUUUUCAUGAUUAUAAAUUUAAAUCUUAACAUUUAUUUAUUUUUUGUAAAUUUGACCUUUAUUCUUUUUUUUAGUAAGCUUUCAAAAAAAAAUCAAAUUUAUUUUUUCCUAAUGAAAAUGCUGACUAAAAUAUUAAUUUUUAACAAUGUGGUGUGGCAAACCGCAUGACAGUACAUGUGUAUUUCAUGUUGACAUAGCAUAUGUCACAUCAAUAAAUAAUUUAAAAAUUAUAAAAAUAUACAAAAACAAAAAUUUCAAAUUUCAAAAUUCAAAAAAUAUAUAUAUAAGGUUCAUGAAAAUUUUUAAAAAUAGCAUAAAGUACACGUGAAUUGCUAUACGGGCUAUCAUGUUUAAAAUUUUAACAUUUUAGGUAGUAUUUCCAUUAAAAAAUAACAAUUCGACUCUUUUUGAAAUGUUAAUAAUCAAAAUUGACUCUUUUUAAAAGGAAGAAUGCCAAAUUUAGCUUUUUAAAAAAAAAAGAAUAAGAGUCAAAUUGAAAAAAAUAUAAACGUUAAAUAUUAACAUAAUUUUAAAAGUUUUUGUUCCUACAAUUAGUUAUCAUAAAACAUUUAAACAUGUUCAUUAUUCCAUAAAUAAAUCUUGAUUAAGUCUUUAUACUUUAUAUUUAUCUAAAAUUUUUAAUUUUUUUUUUAUAAAUCACAAAGUGUCCUUGUCCAUUUUACAAUUUGGAUAUAGACUGUUCGGGUUGGGAGUGGUAUUCAAGUAAUUUGUAGCGUGAAGUGCAAUUAGAGAUUCAUUUCAUUUUUUUGGGCUAUCCAGAUUAAUAUUUUCAUUUAGAAUGAUUUAUGGUUGGCUUGGUUGAACCGAUAAAAUGAAGCAUCCAGGCUCCGUUUAAAAAAAAAAUCCAAUUGGUAAUACAUUUAUGAUUACCACACCUAUAUCAUAAUCAUAAAUCUUUUUUAUGACAAGUUCUAAAUAGAAAUAAGAAUGAUUUCAAACUACUAAUCAAUCAAAUAAUACUACUAAUCAAUCAAAUAAUAUAAGAAAUACGUUGAAUAUCUUGUGGAAAACAUGAAAGAAAAAGGAAUUAAAUUAAAAUAAAAAAGGAAAUGAAAUCAUAGCAAAAAGAUGUGGUAUUGGGUCAUUUGUCUUAUAUUCGCAAAUCAAAAUCUGGCGAAUCUUUAUUCGGAGUAGAGCAUAAACCUAAAAAAAUUGAAUAAAAAAUUGAUGGAAUCCAUCCAGGAACAAGAAAAUGACAUUGAGAUUUGGAUUGAAUCCCAAUGAAAAAAAUAGAUCAAUGAAAAGUUUGUACGAUAAAUUUAGCGAAUUUUUUUCUAUAUGAAUUUUUUUCUAUAUUAUAGAUUAUAGGAAAACGAGCCAAAACUUAGCUUUCUUUAAUUUCAUUUUGAAUUUCAGUUUAUUUAAAAAAUGUAAGAAAAAGUCCCUUCAUCAAAAAUUAAAAGUUAGAAAAGGCACACUAGAAAAAACUAAGGAUGGCUGGAAUCUACACUUUGAUUUUUUUUUUCACAAUUUUUAUUGAAUCGUAUGCAUCAAAAGAUGCCUGUACAGCUACUAAGAGAUACAAUUUUAUCCUAAUCAACUAACUUUAUCGAUAAAAAUUACUUUUUUUAGGCCUAGAGUUUGAUAGCGAGAUCUCGAGUCAACAUAUUGGCGUCUUAUGGUAUAUCUUAGUAUAGAGAACGAUACCAAAGAUCUAUAUUUGUUUAUAAACUCUCCUGGUGGAUAGGUAAUACCCAGAGUAGCUAUUUAUGAUACUAUGCAAUUUGUGCAACCAGAUGUGCAUAGAAUGUGCAUGGGAUUGGCUGCUUCAAUGGGAUUGUUUCUGCUGGUCGGAGGAAAAAUUACCAAACGUCUAGCAUUCCCUCACGCUCAGUGCCAAUGAGUUCUUUAUGUGAUGAAAAGGAAAAAUAAGUUUAUACCUUUGACAUAUAAAAUAUGAAAUAGUAAGUAAUAAUAUCUUGGCACUUCGAAUUCGAUAUGAAAUUUUUAUUUUUUUUCAAAAUAAUAAAUUAUGUAUCAAAAGAGUAGUAUGAGAGAAAGGGCAUUUCCAAUUUUAUCUUAGCUGUCGUGGGCUCAUCUGAGCGUCACAAACCUUUUUUUUUCUUCUCACACCAAAGGCUAUUAACAAUAUUUAUGUUAUAAAUAAAAGAGUAUAAAAAAAAGACUAUUUCUUUCUUUCUUUCUUUCUUCAAAAAAAAUAAAAAGAAAUUUUGGGAUUGUUGAAUCAUAGACGAAAUAAAUAUAUAAAGCAACGGAGCCAUCAUAGUAUUUUUGAACUUGUCCGAAUAAAAAAAGAAGGGUAGUAAUUGGAUUAUUUAGUGAUCUGGGUCUAAUAGACGCUCUCUAUAUUUUCUCUUUUUCUUUUUUCGAUGAAAGAAAAAAAGAGAAUUCCAUCGUAAAGUCGUAUGUAAUGCGCAAAAUAUGCUUUCAAUCACUUUAGCGGUUCAGCUGAUUGGAUACCUAAUCUGCCAUGAAAUUUCAAAUUUGUUCUUGAACAAUCUGAAUUUCCUUCAGAUGUUAUCCCUUAGAUUCCCUUGGAUAAUUGAAUUUUAAUUCCGAUACCUGACGUCGUUAUAAAAUCCUUCAUCAUAGUAUAGUAAGUUGAUGUUUUGGUUCUUAAGAUUGGUAACAUAAGCUGAUUAUGUCUGCAAUGACUCCCUUUCGAUUGCGGGCAAAUGCAUCCGAUAAACUGAGCUUGGAUUUUUCGACUUGAGAAGAAGGCUGUGACAAGCCAUCACUGAACCCUACCUUCCCAUAGCAACCCUUCUUCUUCUUGGUCAUCUUCCCUGUCAUUGUCAAGUUCUUGAGCUAUGAAAUCCUUAUUUAUGGCAGCUCUGAAACCUGCAGCUUCCAUUGCAGGAGAAGGAGAUAUAAAUAAUGGAGAGUGGUACUGAAAUGUUGAAAUCAGAGUAAGAUGGAAGUGGAAAAAGUCGAAGGACCACAAGCUAACAUUAAUUUGUCUCACGUUUUUUCUUUAUGCAGUUUAGGAUUUAAUCCAAAAAGAAACAGAUGUAAGAUAACAUUAAUUUAAUAAAUCCUAGCAGUCAACUACCUAUACCUAUACCUAAAUUCUUAAUUAACUAUUAGUGUUGUUAAGUUAUCGGAUAAUUACUUCCUCUCAUCUUAAAUAAAAAAAAAAUCAUUAUCUCCAGUUUUUUUUUUUUUCAUUUAGUUUAAAUCAUUCUCUGUUUUUCAAAAAUCUGAGGUAAAAUCAGAUCUUACAUGUGUCGUGGACGAGAACUAUUUGGUUGUAUUUUUCUUAUAAAAAUUGUGGUAAUUUACAAAUAUUUAGAAUUGUGUUGGGGCACUGCAAUUGUUCAUUAGUGUUUAAAUUAUUAUAACGUUGAAGGUAAAGCAAUCGUUUGAAAUCAAGCUAAUCUCAGAGGCGAUAGAAACUAUUUAAGACUACGCUAAUGUAAUAAAGCGAGCUAUUGUUCGAUAAAUGAUCUUUAGUGAAUUGGAAAUGAACCCUUGCUGGAAGGGUGCCUUUACUGUGAAUAAAUGCCUUUAUGAGUCAUACCGUGGAUUGUACUACUGAACUGAAUCCAAGUCUUGACUUAAAUUUUUUUUAUUGGUAUAUUGAUGGAUAGUGCUUUCGUCUGGCUUAUAUGAACUUUACUUUGUAGUUUGAUGGAUGGUAGUCAUUGACUUGACAAUAUACAAUGACUAAUGAGAUUUUUGAAAUUCAUGCCUUUUUAACUUUUUUAAGGCAAUAGUGUUUUUAUUCAUAGUUGACUUGUAUAAAUUUCACUUUGUGAUUUAGUGAGUAGUGUGUCUAUUGGCCCAACAAUCGAGGAAUAUAUAAUGCAUAUUAUCACGAGUUGUAUAGUUGUUGAUUGAAUGAUCUAGAGUUAUAUUUUUGGAGAUACAUAUGUCUCACUUUUGUAGAGAGCUACUAAAUGGUUCACAAAGGGGCCCUACUGUCGUUUUUUGGAGAUAUGCUUCAUCUCUAUGGAGAGUGAUUAAACGGUUUAUGGGGGGCUUGAUUGUCAAUUUUUGGUGUUAUGCCUCACCUCUAUGGAGAGCUGUUGGACAGUUCAUGAAGGGCCUUGACUGCUAAUUUUUGGAGAUAUGUCUCACCUUCGUGGAAAGUCGUAGAACGGUUCACUGAAAGACCCAACUAUCAAUUUUUGGAGAUAUGUUUCACCUCCAAGAAGAGCCAUUGAAUGGUUCACGGAGGGGCCCAAAGGUGCCUAAAUAUGAAAAGUUGAGAAAUCUAAAAGACUGCUAAACUAAAAUUUGAAUUUCAAAGUUUGAUAACUAAAAUAUAACUUCUUGAAAACUUAAUGGUUAAAAUUAUAGUUUAUCUUUUUUUUAAUUUAAAAAUAAUAAAAAUGUACAAUGCUAUGUAAUGUAUAAGAUGACAUGGCAAUUUCACAAGUUAUUGACAAGUGUUUGGUAUUGCCAUGUCAUCUUAGUCACUAACUAUUGGGUGGCUAAUCAUUAGUAUUGAUGUCUAAAUAUAUAAUUUUAAUAUUUGGGUCAUCAAAUUCAAAUAUAUAAAAUAGGCAACUUUAUGUAAAUAUGAUAUAAUAGUAAUGACUAUAGCAUAAAAAUAAUUUAUUGAUUACAAUCCCUAUUUUAUAAACUAAAAUAUAAUUGUACUACAAGUUCUAUAAUUAUAAAUAGUUAAUUUAUAAUUUUAUAUUAUUUAAAUUAAAUUCGAGUUGGACCAACUCGAGAUAUGGUGAGGUCUGUAGUCAACUUGUAUUCCAUAUUAUUUACUUUAAAAGUGGAAGCGUAUAUAAAUUUACGAAAUAAUAGACUAGUGUUGAAUGUAAUAAAAGACCAUAAUAAUAUUUGAUUCGAUAUCAUAUCAAAAUAAGUUUAUAACUUAAAUGUUUUAAUUGUAAAUAUGAAUAUAUAGAAGGUUAUUUUGGGAAUUACAUAUAUAUUUUAAAAGAAAUAAAGUUAAUUUUAAGAGAAGAAAAAGAAAAUAGAAGGAAUGAUAAGAGAGGGAAAAUGUUUAAAAAGUGGAGGCAGUUUGAUUUCUUGUUUACCUUUGCCUCUUAACCUCUUCCUUCCAUCAUUCCUUUUCUCCUCUCUUUUGCACUAUCCUUCUUUCCCACCUACACUUUCAUCUUUCUCUUCAACAUCAUCACAAUUAUACUUCCAAUUUUAUUCAUAUUGAGAAAUUAGAUUUAUCAAUAUGAAAAAAUAAAGUAUACCAUACACGGUACAUACACAUACCUCUUAUCAGGUCGAAGCGAAGAACAUUUUUAAAGUUUGGAUGGUCAUCCCACUCUAACGAUUCCCACCAUUCUGUGUUUGACGUGAUGGUAAGAGAAGGUGGAGCAUAUGCAAAUGGCUGCCCAUUGUUGAAGUAAUGGUCAGCAUGCAGCAACCAAGACUGUCAAAGGCACUACAUGCAGAAGCUGCUGGUUCACCUAGUCAGCAAGCUGUUUAUGUUUCAUUUUGUAAUUUUAAGUUAGAGUAAUGUAACUUAGUUGCUUUAUAACUAUGUUAGGUUUAUGUUUGAUGUAAUUUUGAUGUUGACUGAGCUGAUAAAUCAGCUUUGUUUGUUUAUUCAAGCUAAUUAGCACAAGUUACUAUGUGUAUUAGUGGUAGUAGGUGAAGUUUAGGUCAACCUACUGUUUUGUCAAGAUUGUAAACUUGUUUUAUGUAUUGGCUUUAUGCCAUAUUUAGUAUGAUGAAUGAAUUCAAGAAGUUAUCAUCCAUAUGCUCUCCAUUUUUAGUUUUUCUUAAAAAUCCAUUUGAGUUUUCUGCUUUGUUUCUCCUACAAGUCACGAGACUUGUCAUACAAGCAUUCUGCUGAAGCUUGCUGCUGCUGCCUCUUGCUCCAACAAUUGGUAUCUAGAGCCACAUUCUUAGAGGACCUGUUGUAGUUCAGUAUCAAAACGAUGGCAUCAUCAGGUUUUUCACCAGCUUCACCACCUAUCUUCAAUGGAGAGGGCUUCAACAUUUGGGCAGUUAAGAUGAGGACUUACCUGCAGGCAUUCGACCUAUGGGAAGUUGUUAACUCAGAUGCUGAGCCAGCACCUCUUCGAGCUAAUCCAACAGUUGCUCAAAUAAGGCAACACACUGAUGAAAGGACAAAAAGGCACAAGGCCAUGUCAUGCAUACAGAAUUGUGUGACAGAUGUGAUCUUUAUGAGGAUCAUGGCCUGUGAGACACCAAAGGAGGCUUGGGACAAGCUGAAAGAAGAAUUUCAAGGGACUGAGAAAACAAGGCAACAACAGCUGCUCAAUUUGAGAAGAGAUUUCGAAAAUCUCAAAAUGAAAGAGGAAGAAACAGUUAAGCAGUACUCAGACCGGAUUAUGGCUGUUGUAAACAGCAUAAGGCUCCUAGGAGAGCAAUUCAGUGAAGCUAGAAUGGUUGAGAAAGUCAUGUCCACUCUACCAGAGAGGUAUGAAGCUAAAAUUUCAUCCCUCGAAGACUCAAGGGACUUGACAACUAUCUCCUUAACUGAGCUAAUCAAUGCCUUGUAUGCACAAGAGCAAAGAAGAGCUAGCAGACAAGAGGAGCACCAGGAAGGGGCUUUUCAAGCCAAAGAAGCCUCGAGCAUCAAAACUCAUAAAGGCAAAAAGUUCUGGAAAAACAGGCCUAAGCCUGAUGCUGCUAAGAGCAGUGACCAACUCUGCAUACAUUGUAAAAGAGCUGGUCAUCCAGAAGAUAGAUGCUGGUUUAGACCAGAUGCAGUAUGCCAACACUGCAAGAAAAAAGGCCAUGUUGAAAAGGUUUGCAAGAAUAGAAGCAAACCAAGACAGAAUCAAUUUCAGCAACAAAAGGUGGAAGCUCGAGUAGCUGAAGAAAGCAGUGAUCAAGAAGAACAUGUUUUUGCUGUGUCAUGUGCAGCAAAUCAGAAGAAGGGUUCAAAGGGCUGGCUUUUAGACAGUGGGUGCACAAACCACAUGUCACCAGAUGCAACUAUCUUCAAAACCCUGGACAGAACCUGCAAAACCAAAGUAAAAAUUGGAAAUGGUCAGUUAAUCAAUACUGAAGGAAGAUGAGAUGUGCUGAUUCAUACUUCUACAGGUGGCAAAAUCAUUUCAAAUGUACUUUUGGUACCUGAAAUCGAUAGGAACCUUCUCAGUAUAACUCAACUACUUGAGAAAGGUUACUCAGUUGUUUUCAAGGAGAAAGAAUGUCAAAUUUUUGAUCCAAGUGGAUCAAAUCUUAUAACAGUCACCAUGACUGAUAAAUGUUUUGAAGUAGACUGGCCAAAUGACUCACAUUCAGCCUGCAUAGCCUCCACUGAUGACUCGAGACUCUGGCAUCAGAGGCUUGGACAUGCAAACUACAAAUCCAUAGCCCGCAUGGUCAAUGAAGGUCUGGCAGAAAAUUUCAUUGAUUCAGUGAAGAAUGAUGAGCUUUAUGAGAUAUGUCAGCAAGGAAAAUUGGCAAGAUUGCCAUUUCCAACAAGCACAACAUGGAGAGCAUCAGAGAAGCUCCAGCUUGUGCAUACAGAUGUGUGUGGACCAAUGAAGACUGAGUCUCUCAAAGGAAGCAGGUACUUUAUUUUAUUUAUUGAUGACUUAACAAGAUACUGCUGGAUUUAUUUUCUAAAACAGAAAUCAGAAGUACCAUCUAUGUUCCUGAAGUAUAAGGCUGCUGUUGAAACUGAGUCUGGUUGCAAACUUAGAGCAAUGAGGUCAGAUAAUGGAACUGAGUACACCUCAGCUCAGUUCCAAGUCUACUGUGAAGAAGCAGGUAUCAAACACCAGUUGACUAAUGUGUAUACACCCCAACAGAAUGGGGUCAGUGAAAGGAAAAAUAGAAGCUUGAUGAACAUGGCAAGAUGUCUUCUGUUUGAGAAGAAUUUGCCCAAAAGUCUGUGGGCUGAAGCUGUUAACACAGCAGUUUAUCUCCAAAACAGGCUCCCAACCAAGGCUCUGGCUGAGAAGACUCCAUUUGAAGCCUGGUUUGGGUUUAAGCCAUCACUGGCUCAUCUCAGAACCUUUGGUUGUCUGUGCUAUACUCAAGUUCCAGCUGAGAAGAGAAGCAAGCUAGAUAAAAGAGCUCAAGCAGGGAUCCUGAUCGGCUACAGCUUGGUUAAGAAGGGCUACAGAAUUCUAGAACCUGCUACAAACAAGAUAUUGGUUAGCAGGGAUGUUUUCAAUGAAAAAGGACACUGGAAUUGGGAGAAGGCUGAACCAGAGGCAGUGGCUGAAGAUCUGGCAGUGGACCAAGUUGAAAAUGAUGAAAACACACCUGAAAUGGAUGUAGAUGAUGUUCCAAUCAGAGGCACUCGAUCACUGACUGAUGUUUAUGAAAGAGCACAAGUGGCUACUGUUGAACCAAGUUGCUUUGAAGAAGCAGAAAACCAGGAGGACUGGAAGCAAGCAAUGAUUGAAGAAAUCAGAAUGAUUGAAAAGAAUCAGACCUGGAGUCUGGUUGAUAAACCAACAAACAGGAAGAUUAUUGGUGUCAAAUGGGUUUAUCGAGUAAAGAACAAUGCUGAUGGUAGCCUAAACAAGUUAAAGGCUAGAUUGGUUGUGAAAGGCUUCAGUCAAAGGUAUGGAUCAGACUACCUGGAAACCUUUGCACCAGUGGCCAGGCUAGACACUAUUAGACUGCUAGUUGCCUUAGCAGCACAAAAACAGUGGCUGAUACACCAACUUGAUGUAAAAUCAGCAUUUCUGAAUGGAUUCCUUGAAGAGGAGAUUUAUGUGGAGCAACCUCAAGGUUUCAAGGUGUCUGGCAAAGAAGAUAUGGUGUACAAGCUCAACAAAGCCUUGUAUGGCUUGAAACAGGCUCCAAGGGCCUGGUAUAGCAGAAUAGAUGGCUAUCUGACCAGUCAAGGAUUUGAAAGAAGUCUUAGCGAGCCAACUCUGUAUGUUAAAUCAACUAGUGCUGAAACUCAGCUCAUUGUCUCAAUAUAUGUCGAUGACCUACUGGUGACAGGAGGAGAUCAUGAGAUGCUAAGCAGUUUUAAAGUCAAAAUGCAACAGCACUUUGAAAUGUCAGAUUUGGGAUUGAUGUCUUACUUCAUAGGCAUGGAAGUAACUCAAGCUAAGAAUGGGAUUUGGCUAAGUCAAAAGACCUUUGCUAUGAAGGUUCUCAACAAAUUCUCAAUGGAGAAUUGCAAAGCAACCAGCACACCAGUUGCUGUUGGAGAAAAACUCUCGAGCCAAGACAAGCAUGAAAAGGUUUGUGAAACAACCUAUCGAAGUCUAGUUGGAUGUUUGUUGUAUUUGACUGCUACUAGACCUGACAUAACGUAUGCUGUGAGUCUACUCUCGAGGUUUAUGCAUUGUUCAAAUGAAAGUCAUUUUAGAGCUGCAAAAAGGGUUCUAAGAUACAUCAAAGGAACUUUGUCCUAUGGAAUGCAGUUUACCAAGGCUGAGAACUUGAGGCUAGUUGGAUAUUGUGACAGUGAUUGGGCUGGUUCUUUGGAUGACAUGAAGAGCACUACAGGUUAUGCAUUCAACAUAGGCUCUGCUAUGAUAUGCUGGAGCUCAAAGAAGCAAGGAGUAGUGGCUCAGUCGACUGCAGAAGCAGAAUAUGUGGCUGCUGCUGCAGCAGUCAAUCAAGCCAUAUGGCUUAGAAAAAUUUUGAAAGAUAUCAAUCAUGAGCAAAAGGAAGCAACUGAGAUAAUGUGUGACAACCAAUCAGCAGUUGCUAUUGCAAAGAAUCCUGUUUUUCAUGGAAGGACCAAGCACUUCAACAUCAAACUUCAUGCAGUUCGGGAAAUGGAACAAGCUCAUGUUGUUAAGCUGAUACAUUGCAGUUCUGAAGAGCAAAUUGCUGAUAUUUUAACAAAAGCACUAAGUGUUUCCAAGUUUCAACACCUGAGAACUAAUAUGGGAGUUUGCAACAUGCUAACCAAGGAGGAGUGUUGAAGUAAUGGUCAGCAUGCAGCAACCAAGACUGUCAAAGGCACUACAUGCAGAAGCUGCUGGUUCACCUAGUCAGCAAGCUGUUUAUGUUUCAUUUUGUAAUUUUAAGUUAGAGUAAUGUAACUUAGUUGCUUUAUAACUAUGUUAGGUUUAUGUUUGAUGUAAUUUUGAUGUUGACUGAGCUGAAAAAUCAGCUUUGUUUGUUUAUUCAAGCUAAUUAGCACAAGUUACUAUGUGUAUUAGUGGUAGUAGGUGAAGUUUAGGUCAACCUACUGUUUUGUCAAGAUUGUAAACUUGUUUUAUGUAUUGGCUUUAUGCCAUAUUUAGUAUGAUGAAUGAAUUCAAGAAGUUAUCAUCCAUAUGCUCUCCAUUUUUAGUUUUGCUUAAAAAUCCAUUUGAGUUUUCCGCUUUGUUUCUCCUACAAGUCACGAGACUUGUCAUACAAGCAUUCUGCUGAAGCUUGCUGCUGCUGCCUCUUGCUCCAACACCCAUUGCCAACAAGGGGAACAAAUGGAGGAAUUCUCUUCAGUUUAUCACAUCUAAUAACAGCGAUUAACUUGAGAGAAUCACAAAUCAUCACUCCACUUUUGCUACAAAUGCUCUUCAAAUUUGGUAAUUUCCGGAAUGCCAACACUCUCAAUUUGGGAAGAUGGAAUUGGAUUAAUGCAUCACCCCUUUUUUCUUCAACUUCUGAUGUUGCUGCUCCCAAUAUUUCUACUAUCUCAUCACAUUCUGACACCCAAAUUUGUUCCAGGUUUUGGAGGUUUGGAAGCAACCAAUGUGGAAGCAACGUCUUCAUACUUGAGCAUCUCUGUACAUCAAUUUCCUUAAGAUGGGAAAAGGUGGUAGACGGAGCCAAUGUUGAUGUUGUUGCUGAACCAAUUCCUGCAUCUUUCAUAAUAAGGGCACUCAACUUUGGCAGAUCACGAAGAUCCAAUAUCUCGAGGCUCUGAAGUGGAUGAGCGGAAGAAGAGGCAAAAGCGGACAGGGAAACAACACACUCUAUCCCUUUACAAUCAUAAAUCCUCAAGUCAAUCGCAUUUUUCAAGGAAAAAUUAUCAUCGACUAAGUUUCUCAAAUAGUGGCACUUUACAAUGUUCAACUGUUGAAUUUCAAUUGGGUGCAUAAUUAAAUCACCUUCCCAAUUCUGGACUCCUCCAAUUGUUACUGUUUUAUCUCUUGCAGCAGGCAUAAUAGAUGAGCCCAUAUGUAAAUGGUACUUGAUGAGAUUUUUCUUACUUUUUUGCACUGAGGAGAUGAACUUAUUGAAUUCACUGAUGUAUUCGAAACGUCCGGUGAAGCAUUCCAACUUCUUCAAUGGUUCCAUCUCCUCUGCUUUUAGACUUGUUUUUUCAUUGACCACAUUAAAACUCAAGUGCUGAAGGUGAACGAGUUUUGGUAAAAGUCCAGCGGGUAUCUCUUUCAGAGUGCCCACUUGAAGAUCAAGAUAUCUUAGCUUUAUCAGCAUAUCCAUUCCUUCAGGGACUUCCUCAAUUUUAGUCCCACAAAGAUCCAACUUCUUCAAUUCUUGAAGCAUCGAAAGAUAUGGCAGAUCUCUUAUUUGAUAACAGCCACGAAGCAACAAUGUUGUGAGGUUCUUUAGUUCAGAGAUAGAAUUUGGUAAACUCUCGAUCUUUGUAAAAGACAAAUUGAGAACACUAAGACAAGGCAUGUUUGUGAAGAAAGAAAUUGAGAUAUUCUUUAUAGGGUUGUUCUGCAAUAACAAGGUUGUGAGCAGUUGACAUUUUGUGGGAAAUACAUCUAUGGAAAUUUCUGAUAUGGAGUUAUACAUAAGUGACACUUUCUCAAUAUCCGGACUCCAUUGCUCCUUUUCUGGUAACUCUUCUAAUUGCAAACCUGCUUUUAUCAUAUAUCGAGGAUUCAUUCUUGCGAUCGACAAUGCCAUCUCUCUCACUGCAUCAUGCAUCUUUAUGCAAGGUUGACCAAGUACAUUGGUAAUAUUUUCCAACAAGCAAUUCUCUUCUAACUUCUUCAAAAUAACAUGGCCCUUUUCUUCAUUUUCUUGUCUUGUAUCCAUAUCAUCUAUGAAUCCCUCGUCAAUCCAGCACUCAAUUAGUUUAUCCUUUUCAAUUUCAAAAUCUUCGGGAUAUAAUGCGCAAUGUAAGAAACAAGAUUUCACUUUCUCGUCCUUUAAGUGAUCGAAGCUAAAUUUCAAACGCUCUAUCACUUUAGCUUCCACUCCUUCCACUUUUUCUAUUCUUUCUUUCAAUUCCCUGAGUGCGUUUUUCCAAAUAAGAGGGUCCUCUUCUCCUUUCAAUGUACCAGCUACGACGACAAUUGUAAGAGGUAGACCCGCACAUUCCUUGACAAUAAGCUUCAGAGUAGGCAUUAUAGUUUGAUUUUGCACUAUGUUAGGCCCAACUUUACUCAAGAAUAGUGUCAAUGCCUGUUGUUCUGAAAGGGGCUUCACUUUUAUCACCGUGCAACCCAUAUACUUACAGACAUGCUCCGAACGGGUUGUCAACACCAACUUGCAGCCAUUGCUGUCACUCGGCUCAGGGAUCCCAACUUCUUCUAGAGAGACUUCAUCCCACACAUCAUCUAGGAUUAGAACAUGCUUUCCUACUUUCUUCAGCAUUUCUGACAAGAUUGCAGCUCGUCUGAGCUUGUCUCCUUCUAUGGCCAAAUCUUCCUUCAACUUCAAAGCACUUGCAAUAUCAUCUUGUACCUUCAUUACAUUGAACUCCUUUGAUAUGGUAACCCAGAUUACUGUUUCGAAUCUUUGUUCUUUCAAAAGAUCAUUGUGGAUGUGCUUCAUGAUCGUGGUUUUACCCACACCGCCCAUCCCCCAAACCCCAAUCUUUUUUACCACCUCUUGCAUCAAACAUGCCCGAAUCUCUUUUAUGGCAGCUUCCUCCCCAACUAGUUCUGAUGUUGGCAGUGGCAACCCACCACUUGGACCAUCCAUGGCAAGAGCUUCAGAGGCAUUAGGAGCUUUAUCAAGAAAUUCCUUCAUUUCUCGAGUUUUUUCAUCAGCCAGCUUCCCGUUGCAAGCACGACAGAGAUAACUCCCGUUACUGACUUUGUUUUCAACAACUUGUGCUUCCCUAAUCAUCUCUUUUACAGCUUUCAACCAAUUUUCAACUCCUUUCUUUGGUAUCUUCCCCUGAGGACGAAGAAGCUCUGCUUUCAAUUGCAGCUCUAUAUCUUCCAUUUUGCAAUUCAAUUCAUCUCUGAUCCUCUUGAAGUUAAUCACAUAAUCGUUCAGCUUUCUGUGAUAUUGCAAAUAUUUACAAACAGGAGGUCCAAGACAAUUUGCAAUGCCAACACCGGGCUCUACGUAUUCCAUUGCUCUGCCCCUGCAACGCAAUCAUAUAUGUUAGUGUAUAGGAUUUUUGAAUAAUUUUUUAUAUGUUAGUGUAAGCAUGAAAAGGAAGCAUAAAUGCAAUGGCGUUUAUUAGAUGGAGCUAUGGAUAGGUGGCAGACAGAAACAUGAUGAAAUUCUGGUCACCAGAGUUAACCUCUCAAUGUAUAUAAAAUGCUAGAUUCAAGUUUGCAACAGUUCAUUACGGAAUACUAAGAGCUAAAAUGUUCAACAGUCUGAGAUUUCUAUCUAUGAUAGAUUAUGUUUUCCGGUCAUCCUAUCCUGUCUUAAAAUCUAAAACUGUUGAUAAUCAGUAGAGGAAAUCAUUGCCUUAUUACCUGACUUAGUGGCUGAAAUGUGUUGAGAGAUUAGAACUGAAAAUGAAGCAGUGAAGUUGACUUCCUUGACUAUCUUACAAAGCUAACAGAUAAUAAAAAACAAUCAUUGCAUAGUCAUGAAUGAAGCAAGGAAAAGCAUGUCAUGAAUGAAGCAAAUGAAAGAAAAUUACCUUUGACGGAAUGCUUGAAAUUUGGUGAUAGACCUUGGAGAUCAAAACAAAAUAAAAACAGUGAAGAAGAAAGAAUGUUGUGGGUAGAAAGGCAGAACGAUUAAGCAAAGAAAAGCAUGUCAUGGAAGAAGCAAAUGAAAGGAAAGUAGGUAGAGUGGAUGGUUGAAAUUUUGUGAAAGAAGAAAGAAUGUUGUGGGUAGGAAGGCAGAAGUAUUAAGUAAGGAAUCCCAUCUUUUUGUACUUUUCCUUUGCUUCUGCCAUUGUAGUUGGCAUUUUGGGUAUUUGAUUCUCAGCAGUUGUGUCGAUCAGCUGAUUUACAAUUUGAUUCUUCUUUAAAUCUGUAAUAAUUCACUACUUGAUAAUAAAACCUCUAAUCUGCCAUGUCCUCUCCAUUCAUUCUGGACAUUACUAACAAGUUUUGCAGUCAUCUUGGUGCUUAAUUGUAACAACAUCAGCAGCAGCAGCAGCAUCAUAAUAAUGGGAAAGUAUGGUAUAAGAAUGCCUAAUUAUAUGUCACAACUUGAAAUUAAAUAUACUAGUCGGCAUCCUAUAAAAAAAAAAUUAAGCAAAAUCAUUUGUUUUCUGUUUUUUACCUCUUCUAUUUCUUGACAUAGCUUUUACAUUAUAAGAAAAGAUAAAAUUUUAUAUAAAAUUUAUUUUUACAAUUUGGUUUUUGAAAAAUAAUUUAAAUGUAAUGAAAUUUUGAAUUGAGUUUGAAAAAGAUAAUUUUUUGGUAUAUUUUGUAUUCUUUUUACUAAAAAAUGGCAUCCGGUUAAAUUUUAUAAGCCUCUGUAAUAUGAGUUCUAGAUGUUCUUCAAGGGCAUGAUACUCAACUUGAUAAUAUUACUAUUUUAGUUUCGAGAAACAUUGAGAAAGCAUGUAAUGAUUUAACUUGUUUUGGUUUUGUUUUGUUUUUAAUUUGUUAAUGGAUUCUAUUGAAUGGUAAUUUUCUUUAUUUUUCAUACAAUUUAGUUCUUCAGCAACAUAUUCAAGAUUUUAUUUUUCUACAAUUUUUAUAUACAUUUUUUAUUUUAUAAAUAAUUUUGAGUUUUUUUUAAUAAUCUUUAUAAAAAAUCAAGGUCAAAUUGAUAAAAAUAUAAAAAUUGAGAGCUAUAAUUAUUAUACCAAUUGAAACAAAUUCCACUUAACAGUUGGGUGAAAACAAAAUUUCAAAAACAUUAGUGACGAAAUUGUAAUUUUUUCUAGUUAAGUGAUAAAAAUAAAAACUUACCCAUAAUUGAAUCACUAAUGGUUUAAUUUACCCUAAAAUUCUUUUAAAAAUAGAAAAGAAAAACAUUAAGCAAAAUUAUUUGAUCUCUGUUUUUUACCUCUUCUGUUUCUUGACAUAACUUUUACAUUGUAAGAAAAGAUAAAAUUCUGAAUAUAAUUUACUUUUACAAUUUGGGUUUUGAAAAAUAAUUUAUAGGUAAUGAAAUUUUGAAUUGAGUUUGAAAAAAAAUUGUGGUAUAUUUUGUAUUCUUCUAAAUAAAAAAAAUAGCAUUAGGGUCAAUUUUAUAAGCCUCUAUAAUACCAAUUCUAGAUGUCGUUUAAGACCAUGAAACUCAACUUGAUAAUAGUAAUGAUUCGGUUUUGAGAAAUAUUGAGGAAUCAUGUAAUGUUCUAACUCUUUUUUUUUUUGGUUUUGUUCUCUUUUUAAUUUGUUAUCGAAAUCUAUUCUCCAUCUUCUAAUAUUCCUAGAUUGUUUUAUGAAAAAUUACUUCUUUAUAGAAAUCGGUAUUCUUGCUAUGCUCCAUUCAAUGCUCAGUGAAUUCUUUUUGUUAGUGCAAAACGUUGACAAUCAUUAGGUUUUAUUGUAUCCUCAAGGUCAAUUUAUGAGUAACUCUUUUGCACAGCAAUAAAUAGGUGGGAGUAAAUAGAACUUUAAAAUAGUGGUAUCGAUACACGUAUUGAAACCUUUUUUUAAUUUCUCAUAAAUUCAUUUGUAUCACCACACACUAACAAUAGCAGUUAUGGGAACAAUAAUCAAAGAAAAAAAGCAAUAUUAUGAGUCAAUUUUUAUGGUGUUCGGGGCAACUUUUAUUUUUAAGUUCCACAAAGGUAAAGUAAAUUCCAUCUUUUCUUAUUAUUAGUUUUUUCCUUUGCUGUCUUCCAUUAUUGUUGGCCCCAUUCUUCUCUACUAUGAUUAUAAAAUAUAAUAUUUAUAAAUCAUAUGUAUCUAAAUUAGAGCAAAUAGCAGUCUUAUGAUUUAUAAUGCAACAUUUCAUGUUGCCUCAGAUUUCAAUUCUUUUAGUCUCCUCCAUGUUCCACCUUCAAGAAAAAACAAGAGAGAAUGAACCUAAAUUUGGAUACCUAAUCCUUCCUCUAUGGAAUCGGAGUUACCUUCAGAUUUUAAUUCCAAUACCGACAUUGUAACGCCCUGAUUAUUUAACUUUGUUUUUGUGAAUUUUAUCACAAAUAUGUAUUUGCUUCAAUGGCUAAGUGUUUUGAUUGUGUGUUUGAUGUCUUGAGUUCAAGUCCUAUUUUUAGAAAUUUUUGCUAUUUGUGAUCCUAGCCUAUUCAUUGGCGGUUUGGCUUAUAUUCUAUUGCAAGUCAAGUUAUAUUAGAAUGAGCUUCUAUGUUUGAGCAGUAAGGUGUUAGCUUGUCUUGAGGUCUUGUGUUCAAAACUCUGUAUAAAUGUGAAUUGGAUGUGGAUUGAAGUGUCGGAUUUGGUGGGAUUAGGUUGAUUAGUGGGUUAGUGGAGAGUUGGGGGAAAUUAGUGAUAUUUUAUUAAAAUUUUAUUUUUAAUUUUUUAAUUUUAAUUUUAUUCUUCUUUUCCGCAAAAAAUUUCCUCUCUUUCUAUUUUAUUUUAUUUUAUUUUAUUCAAAAUAUCCAGUAAAACUAUUUUAAGAAAUUGAAGUUACCAUAUUAAAAUUCAAUAUACAAAACAAAGUCAUGUAAAUUUUUAAAGCAUUUCAUGUUGUUUAAGGCUUCUAAUUUUAUUGUGUAAAAAUAAAAACCUAUUUGCAAAAGUUUCAAAAUAUGCCCAAAACUCUUUAAUUACCGUGUUGCGACCUCAUGAUUCCCAUGUGGCAACAUCGGCCCAAUAUCGGUAUUGCAAAUUUUCAAGUACUUGUGUUGGACACUUUGACACCCUCAUACACAUACCAAAUCGAGAUUUCAUGCUAUUCUCCCUAUUUUAACAUGUCAUAUAACUUACAUUAACAUGUUUUGACAUCUCAAGUAAAUGACUAUGCUGUCAUGCAACCCUAAAGUCACAAUUCAAUUACUCAAAAUGUAAAUUUUGUAUUUUAAGCAUUUCUAAGUGCAUAAUUGAUACAUAACAUACUAUAUGGUCAUUUUGGACUUACCUCAAUACGCAACAAGCCAAUCCACCUGCAAUUUACAUGUUAGCCAAUAAACAAGUACACAACACCUUACUAAUUCAACCAAUAACAUUCAUUCUCAAAUCUUCCAUUGAAAGCAUUCAUUCGAACCAAUUUUAAAAGUUCUAAAAACCAUUUUAAACAACCCAUAUUGUCCAUUAAUAAAUCAUUAACAGUUCAAAGUCUAAAACCCUCUAGAUUAGUCCCACAUUGCCUUCCUUAUUGAUUUAAAAACACACCAAACGUAGUCAAGUUAAAAUGUCUUGCUUUGGAUCACUUGGCAGCUCACUUCUCCUCCUCGUUUAAGCUAUAUCUCUGCACUGUUAAAUAUAAAAGAGUGUGAGCUUUUUCAAGCUCAGUGAGUGCUUAGAGAUUGCCACAAGUAAUCACGAUAUCCAAAGUUAAAAGAAAGCAUACAAUCACAAUUAAUCACGGUGAGCAAUGAAGCAUAAUUCAUAGCAUUCACAUUAAUAUGUUGCCAGAAUGUGAUUAUGAAGCAUAUGUACAAAAUAUAUUGCAUUGGGUAACCAGAUUUCCAAAUACAACCAAUAUAAUGUGUAGCGUAAAGCUAUCACCGUCCAAACACAUCCACUUAAACAUGUAUACUUAUUGUUUUAUGCACACUUUCACAUAUCACACAACUCAUGUUCAUAUCACAUAUUCAAGUCUCAUAUCAUGCACUUACAAGUGCUCACAUUAUGCUCAAAUAGUCACAACAUAUAGAUCUCAUAUAGUGUAUAUAAAAUCAGCAAGACUCAUAUCAUAUUCAGUUAUAAACACAUAACAUUUUUAUUGUCAUCUCAAUAUACAACACAUAACAUAUUACAUUUAAGCAUCAUUUGCAAAUCAUCAUUAGUUUAGGUAGAAACACUUACUCUUGAAAAUUGGACAGUAUGGAUGUGUUUGGAUAGCUAGAAAAUCAUUAAGGAUGAGUUAAUUUUGAGAGAAAAUAUUAGAGUUGAAUUUGGGGAAAUUUUGAUUGUGAAAUUCAAUAGAGGGAAGGAUCGUUGGGUUCAUAAAGAAACGGGGAAGAUGAGUAGCUUUUUUUUUUUUUAAAUAAGGAAAAAUUGCAAUUUAAAAACUUCCAGUUUUCCUUUAUUUUUCAAUUCAGACCUUAGUUUAAUUAAAAUACAUUUUUCUCAAUUAUUUUCAAACUCAAUAUUUUAAAAAAAUCCAUUUUAACAAAAUUAAUUCUCGAACACCCAAUUUUAAUUUCUUAACAUAAAAUUAUUAAUUAUAUUAAUUUUAAUAUUUUAUUUAAUUAAUUCCUAAUUAUUGUAAUAAUCUAACUUAAUUACGAUUUUCGAUUCAUUAACCCCCGAUUUACUAUCCCAAUUUUUGGGAUGUGACAUGACAACAUUAUGUAAAUAUGAUAUAAUAAUAAUCACUGCAAGUUCUAUAAUAUGAUAUCUAAUGGGUUAGUUUUUAAAAUUGCAUAUUUUAAAAUUAAAAAAUUAAAAAAAUGUUAAUUUAUAAUUAUUUCUAACUUAUAUGCUUUUCAAUGUUAAAACUUUUAUUAGAAUUAUUAGUAAAAAAAUGCAUAAAUGAUUGAUAGCAUAAUCAUUUUAAAGACAAAUAAUUAUAAAUUAAUUAUAUAAAAGAGAUAACAUUUUGUACUUUGUUAAUAUAAAAAGGGUAAACACUUCAUAACAUAGUAAAUUAUGGAUAAAAUAAUAAGAAAUAAUAUAGUAUAAAAUUAAAUAAUUAAUAAUAUAAUAUAAUAUAGUAAUAAAAUAUAUAAAUAUCAUUAUUUUUAAUGCCUAAUCGUAUAUACAUCAUUUUAAUUAAUAAAAAAAUUAUAAUAUUAUAAAUAAAACCAUGAUGAUAGUUUUGUUUCACCUUAAAUCAUUUUGAUUAAAAUAUGUUUAUAUUUUAUUAAUAUAUUAAUAAAAAUGGAAUAUAUUUUAAUUAAUACAUGAUCUUAUUUAUUAUUUAUUAUAUGUUAUUUUUAGACAUUAAAUACAUGACUUCCACACGCAUAUGCGUCUGAUAAGAUUUCUAGCGUUAUUUGAACCUUUCAGACAAUAAAAUUUUUAAUUAUUAGACUCUUGAUAUACUCUUAAAAACAAUCUACAUUUUUUUUUCUAAAUCUAGACCCAUUUUUGGCCUAGCUCGGUCAAUCCAAAAAAUAACUCAUUUUCCUGUUCAAAAAUAAUAAAAUAAUUUUAUAUUAAUAUUUUUAUAUUUAAAUAUAAAUUUAAAAAUAUUUUUAUUAUUUAAAUUGAAUUCGAGUUGUACCGUCUCAAGACAUGGAAGGGUCUAUAGCCAACUUCUAUACCAUAUAUAUAUUUUUUUACUUUUAAAAUUUGAAGCGAAUAUAUAUUAUUAUAUAAAAUUGAAAUUUAUAAAAAUUUACGAAAUAAUAUAUUAGUGUUAAAUGUGAUAAAAGAUCAUAAUAAUAUCAAAAUAAGUUUAUAACUUAAACGUUUUAAUUAUAAAUAUAAAAAUUUAGAAGAUUAUUUUGGGAAGUACAUAUAUAUAUAUAUAUAUAUGAGAAGAAAAAGAGAAUAGAAGAAAUGGUAAGAGAGGGAAAAUGUUUAAAAAGUGGAGGCAGUUUGAUUUCUUAUUUACCUUUGCUUCUUAACCUCUUCCUUCCAUCAUUCCUUUUCUCCUCUCUUUUGCACUAUCCUCCCCCCUCCACCAACCCUUUCAUCUUUCUCUUCGCCAACAUCAAAAAUAUACAUCAAAUUUUAUUAAUAUGGAGAAAUUAGAUUUAUCAAAAUAAAAAAAUAAACAAAACCAUAAAUGGUUCAUACCUCUUAUCCUCCUCAGGGGCUGAAGCGAAGAACAUUUUUAAAGUUUGGAUGGUCAUCCCACUCCAACGAUUCCCACCAUUCUAUGUCUGACCAGAUGGUAAGAAAAGGUGGAGCAUAUGCAAAUGGCUGCCCAUUGCCAACAAGGGGAACAAAUGGAGGAAUUCUCUUCAGUUUAUCACAAUAUUCAACAACUUGGAUAAGUUGGAGAGAAUCACAAACCAUCACUCCACUUUUGCUGCAUAUGCUCUUCAAAUUUGGUAAGUUAUUUAGUCUCAAUUCUCUCAAUUUGGGAAGAUGGAAUUUGAUUAAUGCAUCAUUCCCUUUUUCUUCAACUUCUGAUGUUGCUGCUACCAAUAUUUCUACUAGCUGACUACAAGCACCCACCCUAAUAUCUUCCAGGUUUUGGAGGUUUGGAAGCAACCAAUGUGGAAGCAACGUCUUCAUACUUGAGCACCUGUAUACUUCAAUUCGCUUAAGAUGGGAAAAGGUGGCAGACGGAGCCACUGUUGAUGUUGUUGCUGAACCAAUUCCUGAAUCUUUCAUAAUAAGGGCACUCAACUUUGGCAGAAAUUGAAGAUCCAACACCUCGAGGCUCUGAAAUGGAUGAGCGGAAGAAGAGGCAAAAGAGGACAAGGAAACAACACACUCUAUCCCUUCACAAUCAUAAAUCCUACAAACCCUCAAGUCAAUCGCAUUUUUGAAGGAAGAAUUAUCAUCGACUAAGUUUCUCAAAUAGUCGCACUUUAAAAUAUACAACUCUUUAAUUUUAAUUGGGUGCAUAAUUAACUCACCUUCCCAAUUCUGGACUCCUCCAAUUGUUACUGUUUUAUCUCUUCUACGAGGAAUAAAAGCUGGGCCCACCCUAUAUGAGCCCACUUGUAAAGAGUACUUGAUGAGAUUUUUUUUACUUUGUUGCAUUGACGAGAUGAACUUAUUCAAUUCCUUGAUGUCUUCGAAACGUCCGGUAAAACACUCCAACUUCUUCAAUGGUUCCAUCUGCUCUGCUUUUAGACUUAUUUGUCUAUUAAAACCCAAGUGCUGAAGGUGAACGAGUUUUGGCAAAAGUCCAGCGGGUAUCUCCUUCAGAGUGCGCACACUAAGAUCAAGAUAUCUUAGCUUUAGCAGCAUAUCUAUUCCUUCAGGGACUUCCUCAAUUUCUGUCCCAGAAAGAUCCAACUUCUUCAAUUCUUGAAGCAUGGAAAGACAUGGUAGAUCUCUUAAUUCAGAACAACCACAAAGCAACAAUGUUGUGAGGUUCUUUAGUUCAGAGAUGGAAUUUGGUAAACUUUUGAUCUUCGUAGAGGACAAAUUGAGAACACUAAGAUAAGGCAUGUUUAUGAAGAAAGAACUUGAGAUCUUCUUUAUAGGGUUCUCUUGCAAUAACAAGGUUGUGAGCAGUUGACAUUUUGUGGGCAGCACAUCUAUGGAAAUUUCUGAUAUGGAGUUAUUCAUAAGUGACACUUUCUCAAUAUCCCGACUCCAUCGCUCCUUUUCUGGUAAUUCUUCUAAUUGCAAACCUGCUUGUAUCAUAUAUCGAGGAUUCAUUCUUGUGAUCGACAAUGCCAUGUCUCUUACUGCAUCAUGCAUCUUUAUGCAAGGUUGACCACAUCCAUCGGUAAUAUUUUCCAGCAAGCAAUUCUCUGCUAACUUCUUCAAAACAACAUGGCCCUUUUCUUUCAUUUCUUGUCUCGUACCCAUAUCAUCUAUGAAUCCCUCCUCAAUCCAACACUCAAUUAGCUCAUCUUUUCCAAUUUCAUAAUCUUCAGGAUAUAAUGCGCAAUGUAAGAAACAAUAUUUCACUUUCUCGUCCUUUAAGUGAUUGAAGCUAAAUUUCAAACGCUCUAUCACUUUAGCUUCCACUUCUUCCUCUUUUUCUAUUCUCUCUUUCAAUUCCCUGAGUGCGUUUUUCCAAAUAAGAGGGUCCUCUUCUCCUUUCAAUGUACCAGCUACGACGACAAUUGUAAGAGGUAGACCCGCACAUUCCUUGACAACAAGCUUCAGAGUAGGCAUUAUAGUUGGACUUUGAACUAUGUUAGGUCCAGCUUUAUUCAAGAAUAGUAUCAAUGCCUCUUCUUCUGAAAGGGGCUUCACUUUUAUCACCUUACAACCCAUAUACUUACAGACAUGCUCCGAACGGGUUGUCAACACCAACUUGCAGCCAUUGCUACCACACGGCUCGGGGAUCCCAACUUCCUCUAGAGAGACUUUAUCCCACACAUCAUCUAGGAUUAGAACAUGCUUUCCUGCGUUCUUCAGCAUUUCUGACAAGAUUGCUGCUCGUCUGAGCUUGUCUCCUUCUCUGGGCCAAUCUUCCUUCAACUUCAAAGCAGCUGCAAUAUCAUCUUGUACCUUCAUGACAUUGAACUCCUUUGAUAUGGUAACCCAUAUUACCCUUUCGAAUCUUUGUUCUUUUAAAAGAUCAUUGUGGAUGUGCUUCAUGAUAGUGGUUUUACCCACACCGCCCAUCCCCCAAACCCCAAUCUUGCUCACCUCCUCCAGCAUCAAACAUGCCCAAAUCUCUUUUCUGACAGCUUCCUCUCCAACUAGUUCUGAUGUUGGCAGUGGCAACCCAGCACUUGGACCAUCCAUGGCAAGACCUUCAGAGGCAUUAGGAGCGUUAUCAAGAAAUUCCUUCAUUUCUCGAGUCUUUUCAUCAACCAGCUUCCCGUUGCAAGCACGACGGAGAUAUCUCCCGUUACCGACUUUGUUUUCAACAACUUGUGCUUCCCUAAUCAUCUCUUUCACAGCUUUCAACCAAUUUUCAACUCCCUUCUUCGGUAUCUUCCCUAGAGGACGAAGAAGCUCUGCUUUCAAUUGCAGCUCUAUAUCUUCCAUUUUGCAAUUCAACUCAUCUCUCAUUCUCUUGAAGUUUCUCACAUAAUCAUUGAGCUUUCUGUGAUAUUGCAAGUAUUUACAAGCAGGAGUUCCAAGACAAUUUGCAAUGCCGAGAACAGGCUCUACGUACUCCAUUGCUAUGUCCCUGCAACGCAAUCAUAUAUAACAGUAACAGAUAAUGAAAAUCUGUGAAUGUAUUGGCUUUUUGAUAUGUCAGUGUAAACAUUAAUGCAAGUUUCAAGCAAUGGCGUUUAUUAGAUGGAGCUAUGGAUGGGUGGCAGACAGAAACAUGAUGAAAUUUGUAUAUCCAGAAUUAACCUCUCAAUUAAUAGAAAAUGCUAGAUUCAAGUGUGCAACAGAAUAUGAAGAGGUAAAAUGUUCAAUAGUUUGAGAUUUCAACAUUAUAUUGCUUCUGGGAAGCUCUUUUUGUAUUAAUUUCUAUCUAGAGUAGAUUAUGUGUGCUGGUCAUCCACUCUUAAAAUCUAAAAUUGUUGAUAAUCAGUAGAGGAAAUCAUAGCUUCAGAUCUUAUUACCUGACUUAGUGGCUGAAAAGUGUUGAGAGAAUAGAACUGAAAUUGAAGCGGUGAAGUUGACUGUCGUACAAAGCUAGCUGCUAAGAGUAGCAGAUAAUCAGAAACAACCAUUGCAAAGUCAUGAAUGAAGCAAAGAAAAGCAUGUGAUGGAUUAAGCAAAUGAAAGAAAAUUAGCUUGAAAUUUGGUGAUAGACGUUGGACAUCAAAACAAAAUCAUUGUAGUUGUCAAGAAAUAAUAUUUAAUAAUAAUAGUUGGCAUGGUAUAAGAAUGCAUAAUUAUUAUGUAUAGUUAUUCGCACCCUAUUAGUAAAUUAUUUGCAUUGUUGAAGUUGUCAGAAUUCAAUUUUGGACAAUUUCUUACAUAUGGACAUUAGUAAGAUGUGAAUAAAUCUAUUUAAACUUUUUAUAUAAGUAAGUUUAUUCAACUUAAAAUAAAUUUUUAAUUACAUACAAAUUUCUCGAUAUGCUAUAUCAUUGAAUCUAAGUUGGUUUUAAAAUUAAUUUUUUUGUCAUUUGACUGUUGAGUGGUACUUUUUAAAUUGGUAUAAUAACAAUUUUAGUUUUUAAAUUUUAUACUUUCACUCAAUUUGAUCUUGAUAAUAUAUAAAAUAGAAAUAAGCAAAAGUGUAAUAGGUUCCACGAAGGCAGAAUUAUGAUUAAGAAAUCCCAUCUUUCUUUUAGUUUUUUUUUCCUUUGCUGUUCGCCAUUAUAGUUGGCAUUAAACUAUGGGAUACCCUCCUGUUGCUAUUUCAAUUUCAAUUUUUUAUUUUUGUAAUAAACAUAGACAUGCCUGGGAGGGGGUGUUGCACCUCUCGUGAGAUUCCCUUCAAUUGCUAGUUCAAUUUCUUUUUAUUUUUAUUUUUAUAAUAAACAUACACAUGCCUGGGAGGGGGUGUUGCACCCCAUGUGAUCGAGGGUUGCAAUAACGUUACUGCGAAUGUCUUACUUGAUAGUUACUGAGUGGUUGAUGAUAACCAAUUAAAACUCAAAACAUUCUAACAUUUCACAUCAUGCGCAUGUUGACAAUUAUUUUUUAUAAUUAAACUAUAAAAAUGCUUAUCUAUGCUUUUCAUUUUAUGUUGGUCAUCCAACUAUUAAUUUUUUUCGAUUUAGUCAUUAAACUUUUCGGAAUUAAAUAUUUUAAUCACUCCAAGCUGAUUGGGCUUUCUUUUAUUGGUCUAGUAACUAAAUUAGUCCUCUAAUAGUUAUACGUUCUAUUAAUUUGAUCUUAAAUAUAAAAAAUUCAAUAAAUCUAGCCUCAAUGCUCACAAAAUUUAUCAUUUUAGUUUUAAUUCUAAAACUUAAUUGCGAUUUUUAAUUCACUAACCCCCGAUUUACUAUCCCAAUUUUUGGGAUGUGACAUGACAGCAUUAUGUAAAUAUGAUAUAAUAAUAAUCACUGAUAGCAUACAAAUAAAUUAUUGAUUACAUACCCUAUUGUAUAAACUAAAAUAUAAUUUUACUACAAGUUCUAUAAUAUGAUAUCUAAUGGGUUAAUUUUUAAAAUUGCAUAUUUUGAAAUUAAAAAAAAUAAAAAAGUUAAUUUAUAAUGAUUUCUAACUUAUAUGCUUUUCAAUGUUAAAAAUUUUAUUAGAAUUAUUAGUAAAAAAAUGCAUAAAUGAUUGAUAGCAUAAUCAUUUUAAAGACAAAUAAUUAUAAAUUAAUUAUAUAAAAGAGAUAACAUUUUGUACUUUGUUAAUAUAAAAAGGGUAAACACUUCAUAACAUAGUAAUAAAUAAAUUAUAAUACAUGAAUAACUUAUGGAUAAAAUAAUAAAGAAAUAAUAUAGUAUAAAAUUAAAUAAUUAAUAAUAUAAUAUAGUAAUAAAAUUUAUAAAUAUCAUUAUUUUUAAUGCCUAGUCGUAUAUACAUCAUUUUAAUUAAUAAAAAAUUAUAAUAUUGUAAAUAAAACCAUGAUGAUAGUUUUGUCUCACCUUAAAUCAUUUUGAUUAAAAUAUGUUUAUAUUUUAUUAAUAUAUUAAUAAAAAUGGAAUAUAUUUUAAUUAAUACAUUAUCUUAUUUAUUAUUUAUUAUAUGUUAUUUUUAGACAUUAAAUACGUGACUUCCACAUGCAUAUUCGUGUGAUAAGAUUUCUAGCGUUAUUUGAACCUUUCAGACAAUAAAAUUUUUAAUUAUUAGACUCUUGAUAUACUCAUAAAAACAAUCUACAUUUUUUUCUAAAUCUAAACCCAUUUUGGCCUAGCUCAGUCAAUCCAAAAAAUGACUCAUUUUACUGUUCAAAAAUAAUAAAAUAUUUUUAUUAAUUAAAUUGAAUUCGAGCUGUACCGUCUCAAGACAUGGAGGGGUUGAUAGCCAACUUCUAUACCAUAUUUUUUUUACUUUAAAAUUUGAAGCGAAUAUAUAGGGAAAAUUAUAAAAAUAGUCACUUUUGUUUACCUCAUAUUACAUUUUAGUCAUUUACGUUAUCGUUUUGUUACGAAGCGGUCACUCUACCAUUAAGCUUUUUACCUCCCUAACAACAGUCCUAUGUGGUAGUCCAAAUGGGUUUUAAAUGCUAACUUGGAUGUUUUACAUGACAGUCCAAAUUAAAUUUUUUAAUUAAAAACUUAUUUUCAUCCCAACAAAUGGACAUCCAAGUUGACAUUUAAAACCCAUUUGGAUUGCCAUGUAAGACUAACGUUAAGGAGGUAAUAAAGUUUAAUGAUAAAGUGAUUAUUUCGUAACAAAGAGAUAACGUAAGUGACUAAAACGUAACAUUUCAAACAUAAGUGACUAUUUUUGUAGUUUACCCGAAUAUAUAUUAUUAUAUAAAAUUUGAUAUUUAUUAAAAUUUACGAAAUAAUAUAUUAGUGUUAAAUGUGAUAAAAGAUUAUAAUAAUAUCAAAAAAAGUUUAUAACUUAAAUGUUUUAAAUGUAAGUAUGAAAAUUUAGAAGGUUAUUUUGGAAACUACAUAUAUAUAUAUAUAUAUAUAUAUAUUAGAGAAGAAUAAGAGAAUAAGAGAGGGAAAAUGUUUAAAAAGUGGAGGCAGUUUGAUUUCUUAUUUAUGCUUUUAACCUCUUCCUUCCAUCAUUCCUUUUCUCCUCUCUUUUGCACUAUCCUCCCCCCUCCUUUCCCACCAACCCUUUUAUCCUUCUCUUCAUCAACAUCAAAAAUAUACCUGAAAUUGUAUUAAAAUGGAGAAAUUUCGUUUAUAAAAUAAGAAAAUAUAAACUAAACUAUAAAUGGUUGAUACCUUUAAAAGCUUUCUAAGGGUUUCAAUAGAAAAACAUUUUUAAAGUUUGGAUGGUCAUCCCACUCCAACGAUUCCCACCAUUCUGUGCUUGACCUGAUGGUAAGAGAAGGUGGAGCAUAUGCAAAGGGCUGCCCAUUGCCAACAAGGGGAACAAAUGGAGGAAUUCUCUUCAGUUUAUCACAAUCUCCAUCAACUUGGAUAAGUUGGAGAGAAUCACAAACCAUCACUCCACUUUUGCUGCAUAUGCUCUUCAAAUUUGGUAAUUCCCAGAAUGACAACUCUCUCAAUUUGGGAAGAUGGAAUUUGAUUAAUGCAUCACUCCCUUUUUCUUCAACUUCUGAUGUUGUUGCUCCCAAUAUUUCUACUAGCUGUCUACAAGCCUCCAGGUGUAUUUCUUCCAGGUUUUGGAGGUUUGGAAGCAACCAAUGUGGAAGCAACGUCUUCAUACUUGAGCAGCUGUCUAUCUUAAUUUCCUUAAGAUGGGAAAAGGUCGUAGACGGAGCCAAAGUUGAUGCUGUUGCUGAACCAAUUUCUUCAUCUUUCAUAAUAAGGGCGCUCAACUUUGGCAGAUAUUGAAGAUACAACACCUCGAGGCUCUGAAAUGGAUGAGCGGAAGAAGAGGCAAAAGAGAACAGGGAAACAACACACUCUAUCCCUUCACACCACCAAAUCCAACAAACCCUCAAGUCAAUCGCAUUUUUGAAGGAAGACUUGUCAUCGACUAAGCUUCUCAAAUAGUCGCACUUUAAAAUAAUCAACUCUUGAAUUUCAAUUGGGUGCAUAAUUAAAUCGCCUUCCCAAUUCUGGACUCCUUCAAUUGUUACUGUUUUAUCUCUUGUAGCACGCAUAAAAGAUGAGCCCACCUGUAACGAGUACUUGAUGAGAUUUUUCUUACUUUGUUGCAUUGAGGAGAUGAACUUAUUGAAUUCAUUGAUGUCUUCGAAACGUCCGGUAAAGCACUCCAACUUCUUCAAUGGUUCCAUCUCCUCUGCUUUUAGACUCGUUUUUUCAUUGUUCUCAUGAAAACCCAAGUGCUGAAGGUGAAUGAGUUUUGGUAAAAGUCCAGCGGGUGUCUCUUUCAGAGUGAGAAGUGGAAGAUCAAGAUAUCUUAGCUUUAUCAGCAUAUCCAUUCCUUCAGGGACUUCCUCAAUUUUAGUCCCACAAAGAUCCAACUUCUUCAAUUCUUGAAGCAUCGAAAGACAUGGCAGAUCUAAGACAUUUUUAAUCACUUAAUUUUAAAUAAUUUUUAAUCUAAGACAUUUUAUUUUGGAUAAUUAUUUGCAAUUUAGUAUUAACACUAGCAUGUUUACGACAUUGGUUUUGUUUUUUUCUAAAUUUGCUAAGGAAUACAAUAUUUUAUCAAGAUACUUAUGAUCACAAGUCACUUUGGGUUGGAACAUAUGCAAAGGGGAGAUUUAAAGACUUGAAUGUGGGAAAGGGGAACAACUCCAUCAAUGUCCCAAUGAAUUUUAUUGACAUUAAUUUAACUACUAUUAUAUCUAUUUUCAUUUUUCAAGGUUUGAUAAUCAUCUUGCUCAAAUUAAUUAAAGAAACUCAUGAAUUAUCAAAUGUUAAUAUUGGUGUAUUAAAUUCUUCUUGAUCUCUACUGAUUGUAUUAUCUGCCAUUAUUUCUUGACUGUUAUCUCCAUAUGGAUACUCAAUAUAUGUUGUUCCUUUCUUCAUUUUUAUAUUAGAGACUUAAAAUCCUCAAAGCAAGUUUGUUGAAUAUGUCCCGUCUUUCUCAUUCAUUCUCUCGCUCUUUGACAUGAACCUAUUCCUCUAUAUUUUUUAGCUUUUUUCUCCAAUCAGGAGAGCCUUUUGAUUGAACGUUCAAUGGCACUAGAGAUAUAGACUUGUUAAAAUCAUUUUAUAAACAAAAAAUAGUGAACCGAUACCAAAAUAUAUUUACAUUCUAAAACUCUAAUUAGGAAAUUAUUACCUUUGCAAUUAAGUAUGAAAACCUCCUUAAUUAAUAUGAAUUAAUCAAUUAGUUAAAAAGUCUCAUAUAAUCAUUUUACUCUAAUUAUAAUCUCCCACAAAUGAUUCCUCCACUGAGACUAUUUCUCCCCAUGGAUCAACAAAGUUUGUGUUACUUUUACGAUGAAGUGGAUAGAAGUGGAAAAAGUAAAAAGGACCACAAGUUACAUUAAUUUGUCCCAUGUUUGCUUUGUGCAGUUCAGGAUUUAAGAGAUGUAAGGUAACAUUAACUUGAUAGAUGUAUCAUAACACAAAUAAUACGAUCCCGAAUCAUAAAAGUACAAAUUGUAGGCUUGCGUCACUCGUCAACAACUCUCGCUUUUCCUUUUCCUUUCGAAUGCACGUUAGGUACGUACAAUCACAAAGCUGUUCACCAUAGUUAACCUCACAAUGUAUAUAAAAUGCUAGAUUCAAGUGUGCAAGAGUUCAUUACAGCAUAUUAAGAGCUAAAAUGUAUAGAUUAUGUCUGCUUAACAUCCUAUCCUGUCUUAAAAUCUAAAACUAUUGAUAAUCAGUAGAGGAAAUCAUUGCCUUAUUACCUGAACUAGUGGCUGAAGAUAAGUGGGGGCGAAUAUGUGGGGGCGAAUAUAACCUUAAAGAUAGUGGCUUGAUACACGCCUUGGAGCCUGUCCUAUUUCUUCUUUUUCUUUUCGAGUUCCGAUCGUGUGUUCGAGUUUUUUUUCCUUACCAGAGUUUUAUACUAACAAGACAUGGCAGAUCUCUUAAUUGAUAACAGCCACGAAGCAAUAAUGUUGUGAGGUUCUUUAGUUCAGAGAUGGAAUUUGGUAAACUCUCGAUCUUUGUAAAAGACAAAUUGAGAACACUAAGACAAGGCUUGUUCAUGAAUAAAGAAUAUGGGAUUUUCUUUACAGGGUUCCCCCGCAAUAACAAGGUUGUGAGCAGUUGACAUUUUGUAGGCAGCACACCUAUGGAAACUUCUGAUAUGGAGUUAUACAUAAGUGACACUUUCUCAAUAUCUGGACUCCAUUGCUCCUUUUCUGGUAACUCUUCUAAUUGCGAACCUGCUUGUAUCAUAUAUCGAGGAUUCAUUCUUGUGAUCGACAGUGCCAUGUCUCUCACUGCAUCAUGCAUCUUUAUGCGAUGUAAACCAAAUUCAGUGGUAAUAUUUGCCAACAAGCAAUUAUCUUCCAACUUCUUCAAAAUAACAUGGCCCUUGCCUUCCAUUUCGUGUCUUGUAGCCAUAUCAUCUAUGAAUCCCUCUUCAAUCCAGCACUCAAUUAACUCAUCCUUCCAAAUUUCAAAAUCUUCAGGAAAUAAUGCGCAAUGUAAGAAACAAUAUUUCACUUUCUCGUCCUUUAAGUGAUCGAAGCUAAAUUUCAAACGCUCUAUCACUUUAGCUUCCACUCCCUCCACUUUUCUAUUGUCUCUUUCAAUUCCCUGAGUGCGUUUUUCCAAAUAAGGGGUUCCUCUUCUCCUUUCAAUGUACUAGCUACAACGACAAUUGUAAGAGGCAGACCCGCACAUUCUUCGACAACGAGCCUCAAAAAUUGGCAUUAAAGUUCGAUUUUGCACUAUGUUAGGCCCAACUUUACUCAAGAAUAGUGUCAAUGCCUGUUGUGCUGAAAGGGGCUUCACUUUUAUCACCGUGCAAUCCAUAUACUUAUAGACAUGCUCCGAACGGGUUGUCAACACCAACUUGCAGCCAUUGCUGUCACUCGGCUCAGGGAUCCCAACUUCUUCUAGAGAGACUUCAUCCCACACAUCAUCUAGGAUUAGAACAUGCUUUCCUACUUUCUUCAGCAUUUCUGACAAGAUUGCAGCUCGUCUGAGCUUGUCUCCUUCUAUGGCCAAAUCUUCCUUCAACUUCAAAGCACUUGCAAUAUCAUCUUGUACCUUCAUUACACUGGACUCCUUUGAUAUGGCAACCCAGACUACUCUUUCGAAUCUUUGUUCUUUCAAAAGAUCAUUGUGGAUGUGCUUCAUGAUCGUGGUUUUACCCACACCGCCCAUCCCCCAAACCCCAAUCUUUUUUACCUCCUCUUGCAUCAAACAUGCCCAAAUCUCUUUUCUGGCAGCUUCCUCCCCAACUAGUUCUGAUGUUGGCAGUGGCAACCCACCACUUGGACCAUCCAUGGCAAGAGCUUCAGAGGCAUUAGGAGCUUUAUCAAGAAAUUCCUUCAUUUCUCGAGUCUUUUCAUCAACCAGCUUUCCGUUCCAAGCACGACAGAGAUAUCUCCCGUUUCUGACUUUAAUUUCUACAUCCUGUGCUUCCGCAAUCAUCUCUUUCGCAUCUUUCAACCAAUUUUCAACUCCCUGCUUUGGUAUCUUCCCCCCAGGAGAAAGAAGCUCUGCUUUCAAUUGCCGCUCUAUGUCUGCCAUUUUACAAUUCAAUUCAUCUCUGAUCCUUCCGAAGUUUCUCACAUAAUCAUUCAGCUUUCUGUGAUAUUUCAAGUAUUUACAAAGAGGAGGUCCAAGACAAUUUGCAAUGCCAACACCGGGCUCUACGUAUUCCAUUUGCUCUGGCCCUGCAACGCAAUACGUAUUCCAUUUGCUCUGGCCCUGCAACGCAAUCAUAUAUGUUAGUGUAUUGGAUUUUUGAAUAAUUUUUUAUAUGUUAGUGUAAGCAUGAAAAGGAAUCAUAAAUGCAAUGGCCUUUAUUAGAUGGAGCUAUGGAUAGGUGGCAGACAGAAACAGGAUGAAAAUCAUUGCCUUAUUACCUGACUUAGUGGCUGAAAUGUGUUGAGAGAUUAGAACUGAAAAUGAAGCAGUGAAGUUGACUUCCUUGACUAUCUUACAAAGCUAGCAGAUAAUAAAAAACAAUCAUUGCAUAGUCAUGGAUGAAGCAAAUGAAAGAAAAUUACCUUUGACGGGAUGCUUGAAAUUUGGUGAUAGACCUUGGAGAUGAAAACAAAUUAAAAACAGUGAAGAAGAAAGAAUGUUGUGGGCAGAAAGGCAGAACUAUUAAGCAAAGAAAAGCAUGUAAUGAAAUAAGCAAAUGAAAGAAAAGUAGGUAGAGUGGAUGGUUGAAAUCAGUAGAGGAAAUCAUUGCCUUAUUACCUGACUUAGUGGCUGAAAUGUGUUGAGAGAUUAGAACUGAAAAUGAAGCAGUGAAGUUGACUUCCUUGACUAUCUUACAAAGCUAGCAGAUAAUAAAAAACAAUCAUUGCAUAGUCAUGGAUGAAGCAAAUGAAAGAAAAUUACCUUUGACGGGAUGCUUGAAAUUUGGUGAUAGACCUUGGAGAUGAAAACAAAUUAAAAACAGUGAAGAAGAAAGAAUGUUGUGGGCAGAAAGGCAGAACUAUUAAGCAAAGAAAAGCAUGUAAUGAAAUAAGCAAAUGAAAGAAAAGUAGGUAGAGUGGAUGGUUGAAAUCAGUAGAGGAAAUCAUUGCCUUAUUACCUGACUUAGUGGCUGAAAUGUGUUGAGAGAUUAGAACUGAAAAUGAAGCAGUGAAGUUGACUUCCUUGACUAUCUUACAAAGCUAGCAGAUAAUAAAAAACAAUCAUUGCAUAGUCAUGGAUGAAGCAAAUGAAAGAAAAUUACCUUUGACGGGAUGCUUGAAAUUUGGUGAUAGACCUUGGAGAUGAAAACAAAUUAAAAACAGUGAAGAAGAAAGACUGUUGUGGGCUGAAAGGCAGAACCAUUAAGCAAAGAAAAGCAUAUGUAAUGAAAUAAGCAAAUGAAAGCAAAGUAGGUUGAAAUUUUGUGAAAGAAGAAAGAAUGUUGUGGGUACAAAGGCAGAAGUAUUAAGUAAGGAAUCCCAUCUUUUUUUACUUUUCCUUUGCUUCUGCCCUGAUUUACAAUUUGAUUCUUCUUUAAAUCUGUAUAAAUCACUAAUCUGCCAUGUCCUUUCCAUUCAUUCUGGACAUUACUAACAAGUUUUGAAGUCAUCUUGGUGCUCAAUUGUAACAACAACAUCAGCAGCAGCAGCAGCAUAAUAAUGGGAAAGUAUGGUCUAAGAAUGCCUAAUUAUAUGUUACAACUUGAAAUAAAUAUUUACUUACGUACAUAUAAAUUCCUUCAUAAGUUACACUUUUAAAUCCAAAUUGUGGUUUAUUGAUUGGGUGUUCACUAUUAGAAAUAGCCGAAAUUCAAAUUAUCAUUGUACCCAAAUUUGAAAUUGUUUUAAAAUUUUAGAAUAUUAUAAAAUUUAAAAGUAAAUAACAGUAGAUAAACAUUUCAAAAAUAGAGAAAAUGAGGGAAAAACAUUUCAAUAUUUUAUUUUUCUACAAUUUUUAUAUACAUUUUUCUAUUUUAUAAAUAAUUUUGAGUUUUUUUUAUAAUCUUUAUACAAAAUUAAGAUCAAAUUGAUAGAAAAUAUAAAAAUUGAGAGCAAUAAUUAUUAUUAUACCAAUUGAAACAAAUUCCAGUUAACAGUUGGGUGACAAAAAAAAAAUUCAAAAACAUUAGUGAUGAAAUUGUAAUUUUUUUUAGUUAAGUGAUAAAAAUAAAAAAAACUUACCCAUAAUUGGAUCACUAAUGGUCUAAUUUACCCUAAAUUCUUUUAAAAUUUUUAGUUUAAAACUUUUUUUUUAUAAAUACUAUGUAUUAAGCCUUUUAUGUUGGUGCCGCUAUCAAUCAAAUCACAACUCAAUAAGAAAGUUAUCAAAAAACUAUUUUAUUUGAAAAGUAAAAUAUAUGAUUAUGAGAAUGUUUUCAUCUUUUUAUACUUUUAUAAAUUAAUAAAAAAAUUAUCCAUAAUGAGAUUUGAACUAAUGACAUUCACUUGAAACUUUAAUAAUUAUAUCUAUGUUCUAAAUUUUUAUUUAUUUGUGUAUAUAAAAAAUGUUGUUGAUUUAGUGUCACAAAUGAACACGGCACCAACUCAGAAUUGAAAACAAAACAAUGAUAAUCAAUUGCAUUCAUUUAGUAUUUUUAAUCUGAUGUGUUUUUUUGUUUAGAUUUCGUUUUACUCACAAUUUAUUCUAAUUUUUAUUUUAAUAUAGUGCAUAUUUUAUAUGUUAUUAUUAAUUAGUUCCAAAUUUGAUAGCAAGUUACUUUAAUAUAUUUAAUAUACCCAAUUUUGGUAAACUUUUUAAUAGAAUUCUACUAAACUUGUGAUUUAUUGCCCAAAUUUUAUUAUGGACACAAUUGGAGUGCCGAAGUUCAAAAACAAACAAAUUGAGCUAAAUUGGAACAAAAAACAAGUUGGGGAGCUGAAUUGAAAGUUGCAAAAUUAAUUUUGGGAUGAUAAAAAAUAUUAGAUUUUUUACUUUGACUAAUUCUAUAUUUAGAAAAAUUUGAUUUAGUGGUUGCUUGUUAAGCAUAAUUCUAAGAGUAAAAUGAUGUGAAAUUGAUUCUUUGAGAUCCGUAUAUAAAGGUUUUUAAUUGUGGCACGAAUACACACUUUGAAUUUAAAAAGACAGUUUAGCACAUUCUUGCGUCUAUUGCAUUUGAAGCAAUCUGCCAUUGUUUUUCUCUUUUUAUGUUUUGGUGCAAUUUCCCUUUUAGUUCUCUCCUUUCUUCACCUAUUAUCUUUCAUUAAAAUUCACUCUCAUAAUCCAAUCAAGUAUGAUUAAUUCAUGUUCAACCAAUCUUCGUUUAGCUUUAGACCGGUUAUCAUUUCGACCAAGAAACAUGACAAAUGAACCCACGCUAAAACCUUACAAUACGGUAUUCAUUAUCUUUCCGUAAUAUGAGAUAGUUACAAUUAUCCCUUAAAGUUAAUUCAAUUUCAACUCAAAAAGUGUGGAUUUGAGUUGCUUGGUGUACAGUUAAGAAAAUGAGUUGUUAUUCUCUUUGUCAAUUUGAUGUUGAUAAUAUAUAAAUUGGUAAAAAAAUUAAAAUUAUUUUUAAAAUUUUAUAAAAUUAUAAAAUUAAAAAUUAAAUAAAAAUAGAUUAAAAAAUUCAAAAAUAAAUAAAGUGAGAGAAAAUUAGGGGUAAUUGUUUUUAAACCCUCCAAUAUUUCUCUAUAUUAUCUGUAUCAAAAUAUUCAAUACCCAUUAUUUUAAAAAAAACAUAGAAAAGAAAAACAUUAAUCAAAAUUAUUUGAUCUCUGUUUUUUACUUCUUCUAUUUCUUUUCAUAACUUUUACGUUGUAAGCAAAGAUAAAUUUCUGAAUAUAAUUUAUUUUUACAAUUUGGGUUUUGAAAAAAAAUUUGUGGUAUAUUUUGUAUUCUUCUAAAUAAAAAAAUGGCAUUAGGGUCAAUUUUAUAAGCCUCUAUAAUAUCAAAUCUAGAUGUCGUUUAAGACCAUGAAACUCAACUUGAUAAUAGUAAUAAUUCGGUUUCAAGAAAUAUUGAGGAAUCAUGUAAUGAUCUAAUUCUUUUUUUGGGGGGGGUUUUGUUCUCUUUUUAAUUUGUUAUAGAAUUCUAUUCUCCAUCUUCUAAUAUUCCUAGAUUGUUUUAUGAGAAAUUAUUGUAGAAGUUCUUUAUAGAAAUUGGUAUUCUUGCUAUGCUUCAUUCAAUGCUCAGUGAAUUGUUUUUGUCAAUGCAAAACAUUGACAAUCAUUAGGUUUCAUUAUAUCCUUAAGGUCAAUUUGUGAGUAACUCUUAUGCAUAGUAAUAAAUAAUUGGGGGCGAAUAGAACUUUAAAAUAGUAGCAUCAUACACAUAUUAAAACCUUUUUUAAUUUCUCAGAAAUUCAUUUUUAUCACCAGUAGCAGUUAUGGGAACAAUAAUCAAAGAAAACAAACAAUAUUAUGAGUCAAUUUUUAUGGUGUUCGGGGCAACUUUCGUCUUUUAAGUUCCACAAAGGUAAAGUAAAUUCCAUCUUUUCUUAUUAUUAGUUUUUUUCCUUUGCUGUCUUCCAUUAUCGUUGGCACUAUUGUUCACUACUAUGAUUCUAAAAUAUAAUAUUUAUAAAUCAUAUGUAUCUAAAUUAGAGCAAAUAGCAGUCUUAUGAUUUACAUUAAUGCAAUAUUUCAUGUUGCCUCAGAUUCCAAUUCUUUUAGUCUCCUCCAUGUUCCACCUUCAAGAAACAAGAGAUAAAUUUGGAUACAUAAUCCUUACCCUAUGAAAUCAGAGUUACCUUCAUAUUUUAAUUCCAAUAUCGACAUUGUAACACCCUGAUUAUUUAACUUUGUUUCUUUGAAUUUUAUCACAAACAUGUAUUUGUUUUAGUGGUUAAGUGUCUUGAUUGUGUAUUUGAUGUUUUGGGGGCGAAUAGAACUUUAAAAUAAAUAAUUGGGGGCGAAUAGAACUUUAAAAUAGUAGCAUCAUAAAACCUUUUUUAAUUUCUCUGAAAUUCAUUUUUUAAGUGCGUAAUUGAUACAUAACAUACUAAGUGGUCAUUUUGGACUUACCUCAAUACUCAACAAGCCAAUCCACCUGCAAUUUACAUGUUAGCCAAUAAACAAGUACACAACACCUUACUAAUUCAACCAAUAACAUGCAUUCUCAAAUCUUCCAUUGAAAGCAUUCAUUCGAACCAAUUUUAAAAGUUCUAAAAACCAUUUUAAACAACCCAUAUUGUCCAUUAAUAAAUCAUUAACAGUUCAAAGUCUAAAACCCUCUAGAUUAGUCCCACAUUGCCUUCCUUAUUGAUUUAAAAACACACCAAACGUAGUCAAGUUAAAUUGUCUUGCUUUGGAUCACUUGGCAGCUCACUUCUCCUCCUCGUUUCAGCUAUAUCUCUGCACUGUUAAAUAUAAAAGAGUGUGAGCUUUUUCAAGCUCAGUGAGUGCUUAGAGAUUGCCACAAGUAAUCACAAUAUCCAAAGUUAGAAGAAAGCAUACAAUCACAAUUAAUCACGGUAAGCAAUAAAACAUAAUUCAUAGCAUUCACAUUAAUAUGUUGCCAGAAUGUGAUUAUGAAGCAUAUGUACAAAAUAUAUUGCAUUAGGUAACCAGAUUUCCAAAUACAACCAAUAUAAUGUGUAGCGUAAAGCUAUCACCCUCCAAACACAUCCACUUAAACAUGUAUACUUAUUGUUUUAUGCACACUUUCACAUAUCACACAACUCAUGUUCAUAUCACAUAUUCAAGUCUCAUAUCAUGCACUUACAAUUGCUCACAUUAUGCUCAAAUAGUCACAACAUAUAGAUCUCAUAUAGUGUAUAUAAAAUCAGCAAGACUCAUAUCAUAUUCAGUCAUGAACACAUAACAUUUUUAUUGUCAUCUCAAUAUACAACACAUAACAUAUCACAUUUAAGCAUCAUUUGCAAAUCAUCAUUAGUUUAGGUAGAAACACUUACUAUUGAAAAUUGGACGGUGUGGAUAUGUUUGGAUAGCUAGAAAAUCAUUAAGGGUGAGUUAAUUUUGAGAGAAAAUAUUAGAGUUGAAUUUGGGGAAAUUUUGAAUGUGAAAUUCAAUGGAGGGAAGGGACGUCGGGUUCUUAAAGAAAUGGGGAAGAUGAGUAGUUUUUUUUUUUUAAAUAAGGAAAAAUUGCAGUUUAAAAACUUCCAGUUUUCCUUUAUUUUUCAAUUCAGACCUUAGUUUAAUUAAAACGCAUUUUUCUCAAUUAUUUUCAAAUCCGAUAUUUUUAAAAGGUCCAUUUUAACCAAAUUAAUUCCCGAACACCCAAUUUUAAUUUCUUAACAUAAAAUUAUUAAUUAUAUUAAUUUUAAUACUUUAUUUAAUUAAUUCCUAAUUAUUUUAAUGAUCUAACUUAAUUAUGAUUUUUGAUUCACUAACCCCGAUUUACUAUCUCGAUUUUUUGGAUGCGACAUGACAGCAUUAUGUAAAUAUGAUAUAAUAAUAAUUACUGAUAGCAUACAAAUAAAUUGUUGAUUACAUACCCUAUUGUAUAAACUAAAAUAUAAUUAUACUACAAGUUCUAUAAUAUGAUAUCUAAUGGGUUAAUUUUUAAAAUUUCAUAUUUUAAAAUUAAAAAAAAUUAUAAAAAUGUUAAUUUAUAAUUAUUCCUAACUUAUAUGCUUUUCAAUGUUACAACUUUUAUUAGAAUUAUUAGUAAAAAAAUGCAUAAAUGAUUGAUAGCAUAAUCAUUUUAAAGACAAAUAAUUAUAAAUUAAUUAUAUAAAAGAGAUAACAUUUUGUACUUUGUUAAUAUAAAAAGGGUAAACACUUCAUAACAUAGUAAUAAAUUCUGGAUAAAAUAAUAAGAAAUAAUAUAGUAUAAAAUUAAAUAAUUAAUAAUAUAAUAUAAUAUAGUAAUAAAAUAUAUAAAUAUCAUUAUUUUUAAUGCCUAAUCGUAUAUACAUCAUUUUAAUUAAUAAAAAAAUUAUAAUAUUAUAAAUAAAACCAUGAUGAUAGUUUUGUUUCACCUUAAAUCAUUUUGAUUAAAAUAUGUUUAUAUUUUAUUAAUAUAUUAAUAAAAAUGGAAUAUAUUUUAAUUAAUACAUGAUCUUAUUUAUUAUUUAUUAUAUGUUAUUUUUAGACAUUAAAUACAUGACUUCCACACGCAUAUGCGUCUGAUAAGAUUUCUAGCGUUAUUUGAACCUUUCAGACAAUAAAAUUUUUAAUUAUUAGACUCUUGAUAUACUCUUAAAAACAAUCUACAUUUUUUUUCUAAAUCUAGACCCAUUUUUGGCCUAGCUCGGUCAAUCCAAAAAAUAACUCAUUUUCCUGUUCAAAAAUAAUAAAAUAAUUUUAUAUUAAUAUUUUUAUAUUUAAAUAUAAAUUUAAAAAUAUUUUUAUUAUUUAAAUUGAAUUCGAGUUGUACCGUCUCAAGACAUGGAAGGGUCUAUAGCCAACUUCUAUACCAUAUAUAUAUUUUUUUACUUUUAAAAUUUGAAGCGAAUAUAUAUUAUUAUAUAAAAUUGAAAUUUAUAAAAAUUUACGAAAUAAUAUAUUAGUGUUAAAUGUGAUAAAAGAUCAUAAUAAUAUCAAAAUAAGUUUAUAACUUAAACGUUUUAAUUAUAAAUAUAAAAAUUUAGAAGAUUAUUUUGGGAAGUACAUAUAUAUAUAUAUAUAUAUAUGAGAAGAAAAUGAGAAUAGAAGAAAUGGUAAGAGAGGGAAAAUGUUUAAAAAGUGGAGGCAGUUUGAUUUCUUAUUUACCUUUGCUUCUUAACCUCUUCCUUCCAUCAUUCCUUUUCUCCUCUCUUUUGCACUAUCCUCCCCCCUCCACCAACCCUUUCAUCUUUCUCUUCGCCAACAUCAAAAAUAUACAUCAAAUUUUAUUAAUAUGGAGAAAUUAGAUUUAUCAAAAUAAAAAAAUAAACAAAACCAUAAAUGGUUCAUACCUCUUAUCCUCCUCAGGGGCUGAAGCGAAGAACAUUUUUAAAGUUUGGAUGGUCAUCCCACUCCAACGAUUCCCACCAUUCUAUGUCUGACCAGAUGGUAAGAAAAGGUGGAGCAUAUGCAAAUGGCUGCCCAUUGCCAACAAGGGGAACAAAUGGAGGAAUUCUCUUCAGUUUAUCACAAUAU